UCUUGGUCUUCGGCUCCGGCGGCCGCACCUUCUCGACGGCCACCCUGAGCACCCCGUCCUGGCACGCCGCGGUCACCGUCUCCACAUUAGCGUUCUCCGGCAGCGCGAACCUCCUCAGGAACUUCCCGGUCCUCCUCUCCAUGCUCAGGUACUUGGCCCCUUCCUCUUUCUCCCUCUUCCUCUCCCCGCUCACGACGAGCACGUUGUCGUUCUCUAUCUGCACCUUGAUCUCGCUGGCCCUUAUCCUGGGCAUGUCCACGACGAACACGUAGGAGACCGGGUACUCCACGACGUCCGCAGGGGUCGCCGCCAUGGCCUUUGCAUCGCGGACGUAGGCGCGCGAGGGGUUGCUCCUCUCUCGGGCUCCUCGGGGAAGUCGAGCAUGUCUUCGAGGAUCCCAAAGAGGCGCGAAUCGAAGCCGAGAUUACGCAGAUCCAUCGGGCUGUUCGCUUUUCCUCGUCUUGAAGAGGGAGUGUGCUUGAUUGUGGGAUGCAGAGGCUGGAGCUCUAGUUAACUGGGGUUUUAUAGAGCAGUUUGAAGGAGGGGAUCGCCAUGAGAGAGGUCUUGAGAGAGUUCUGGAGAAGAGUAGAGGGAAUUUUGCUCAUGAUGGGUUUUGAGAUGCUUCGGCAAUCUUCUGUAAUUUACCAUAGAGAUUACUAAAUAGUGACAUUCACCUUUUUAACGACACGUGGUCCAUUUGAUUAAUCUGUAUUAAUCAAUCUCAUCUUCCUAUCAUAGAGCACACUCGAACGUCGAGUAAAUGCAAGAUUUGCCAUCAUUUUAGUAAAUCCUUCGCCAGGUAAGAUUUCUUUGAUGAAAAACUGUUAAGAAGUAUUUGAAAUUUAGAUUUUAAAUGUCUAUUAAGGUAGUUCCAAGUUUUUUUUUUUUUAAAGAUAAGUUAUCAAUUGAAUAAAGUGUAAAAAAAGUCAAACUUAUUACAUUUGUACAAUUUAGCUUUAAACCUUUUGAUUUAGUACCAAUUUAGUCAUUAUGAGAAAUUUUGUUUAGAUACUGCAAAUGUGAACGUUGGUUGGCUUACAUGGCAUCGCUAGUACUAACAGGGACAGUUUUAAAUAAUUUUUAAAUAAUUUUUUGAUUUUUUUUCUAUCAUUAUUUCUUUCUUUUCUUCUUCAUUUUGCUGGUGACCGGCCACUGGCCACACACGAUGGUUGGGUCGAUUGGCCUUGCCUAGCCAGGGCAAGGCCGAGCCUCGGUGAGGGCUUCCUUGGCAUAGGCCAGGGUCGGCCUCACCUAGGCCAAAUCUGGUGAGGUGAGCCUACCUGGCUAUCGCUUGUGGUCAGUCACCACAAAAGAAAGAAGAAAGGAGAGACAAAAAGAAAAAGAAAAAAGAAAAAAGAGAAAAGAGAAAAGAGAAAAGAGAAAAAAAAAAAACAAAAUAAUAAAAAAUUAAAAAAUUAUUGGAAUAUUAUUUCACGCUAACACCGGUGGUGCCACAUUAGCCGACUAGUGUCCAUGUCAGCAAUGUCCAACUAAAAUUUAUCGGAAAUAUUGAAUUGAUAUUGAAUCAAAAGAUUUAAGACUAAAUUGGCACUGAUACAAUAAAUUUAUAACUAAAUUGACAUUCAUACAAUGAUUUAUGAUUUUUUUGACACUUUUCUCCUAUCGAUCAUAGAGUAUCCACAAUUUAAUUAUUGCUUAUUUUAAUAAAUAGAACUUGGAAGAACCUUGCUAGUUGAAAUGUGAGAUUGACAAUUGCUUACCAACAAUGGCUAGAAAUGGAAAAGAAGAAGGGAAACUACCAUUGAUCAUGCAUGUUAGCGAUCAUUUCUAAACAAUGAAUUUGUUUAUCAUAGUUGAAAAACCCAUUUCGAAAACUUAAACUGAUAGAUGCACAAAAAAGAAAAUGUAAAGUACACAGAAAUAAAUUAGAGCAUAAUUUGGCUUUGGUAUUACGAUAAAAGAUUCAACUUAAAAGCUUGAGUUGAUAAUAGAGAUGACAUGUAUAUAAAAUGUAGACAAACCUCACCAUCAAGCAAUAUGAAAUAUUUCAACAGUCAUACUUUAAAAAAAUUUGAGAUUGAACGUUAACUAAUAAUUUGCUUCAUAUGUCUCGUAAUUAUAAGAAUCAUACAAGCUCCCAUCUGUGGGGGCAAAUGUAUAAUACAAGCUUCUAAACAAAGGAGGCAUGACAGGAUCAUAUCAUUAGCCACGAGUCUAGGGUCUGCUACAAUAAAAUAAAAAAAAGGGACCGCAUCCCACGUGCAAAAUUGACUGGUUAACAACAAGAACAGUAAGAUCACUUUUGCAUUUACUAAUACGUAAUAACUUAAAAGGUAAUUUAAUGACGUUGAAACUAAUUUUAUAAACACAAAAGGAAAUGUGGGUUUGCAUUGUACACAGUUGCGGAUGUCCAUAAAUAUUUAAUUUUCGAACUCUCCUUUAAUUGAUCCGGCUUGCUCAUGCAGUCAAACUCGACAUUCUCAACAAUUAGCAACUAUGUUGUUGUUGGUUGAAAGACUAAGCGUAAAUGCACUUAUGACACCAUUGCUCGUUUCAAGCAUCUUCCUAACAUAGUCCACCUAAGUUAAAUAAUCUUUGCUGAAGAAUAAGGUACUUCACAUGCUCAAAUAAGAAUAUAAGAAGAGCUUUAGAAGUUCACAUGCCGCGUUUAGGAAACUGGGGAUGCAUCUGGGAACCAUUUGGCGGGGACAUCGUAUUCAUUUGGCCUAUGUAGGUCAAGUUCACGGUUUUAUAUAUGUCCAUAUUCGUAAGAAAAGGACAAAAAUGGUGUUUGAAAUAUCUGUGAUUGUUCGCAAAAUUACCUUAGAGAAUUUUGGUCUUUGAUUAUCGCCAAUCAUGUCUAAGAUUGCGUGUAAAAAGUCCGGUCGUGGUUUGAGGGAAGAGCAUCGUCGCACAGGCUACGAUUCCUCUGCCUUGGAAAGGUGCCUCGAGUGUAGAUUCGCCGCCUCAGCCCUUUUUGAGAAUUAACUAUAGUCGAAGCGAGCUUAUGACUUUCUCCAUGUCUGCUCAGAGGCAGCUCGUUUCGCAAGAGCUUCUUUGACCUGGAGCCAUUCUUCUCCUCUUUUGCUCCAACGCCUGCUCCAACUCCUUCCCUCCCUUUGACGAGCGGAUCGGUCGCCCAUAACACUUGUACUUGCAUCAAAUUCAUCAUCUUGAAUGGCACCAACCGGGACUAGGCGGGACUUGAGGUUGAGGACUGAGCAGUUCGGGGACAUGCCCAUCACGACCAGUGCCGGAGGAGGCGAAGGCUUGGCGGUGGGCAGGUCGUCAGAGGCGGAAGGAUCGGGGCGAAGGAGGGGGCGAAGGCACUUGGAGAUGGAGGAAGACUCGUUGUCCCGUCUGGAUGGCCUGAGUCUCGUGGGUGUGUGGGUUUUGAAAUAAUGGGUUGGACUAUAGUUUUUCUCAGUCCAUUUAAGCCCAUUUUAGAAGGAAAAAAACGAGUGACUCGUACAAAUUUGGACUCAUUAAAUUUGAGUCAUAAAAAAUGACGGGAUCAUAUCAGUAGUCACAAGUCUAGAGUCUGCUGUGAGAAAAAAAAGGGAUUGCAUCCCACGGGCCAAAUCGACUGGUUACCAACACAAAGAUAAUUUAUGAACUGUAAGAUCACUUUUGCAUUUACUAAUACUUAUGAACGUAAAGGUAAUUUAAUAACGUAGAAACUAAUUUCAUGAAUGCAAAACUAUGACUUACAAACAUCAUUUUGCAGUCAUGAUACAAUAAAGAUGUUACUACAAUUAGACCGCGCUAGCAAUUUAUUAACAAUAAGUAUAAUUAAGAUCAUCCAAAAUUAGCACUCACCCUAUUUACUAAUCACAAGGGAAAUGACAACCUUAGAGGUGCAUUACAUCUUAAAGGGUAAAUUACUACUUUUAAUUACUUACUAUAAGGCAUAUGAUUGUCUUAAGAGACGCUGCUACUUUGAAGAGUACUUACACUUAGUGAUUUCCUUAUAACAUAGCAAAUUAUCUCAAACCAUCGCAAGUGAUAAAACACUGGCUAAUUGACCUAAAGCUGUGGUAAAUUGGCUAAACUCCUCACAAUAAUAUUGCACUUAUUGUUCGAACCGUUUUAUUAAAACUAAUGACAUUUCUUUACACUUCGUAAGUUGGGGAUGUUGUCGUCAGUAAUUAUCCAUUGAUGAUUUUAAUUUUCUUAAUUAGUCGCAAUUGGUAGUUCAUUAUGGUUAACCACUGGCAUACUUUUUUUUCUUCCCCAACUGGAAAGUCCCCGUCAUACGUGAUCUAGUUAAGGGAAAAACAAAUACCUUAGCAUGUGUUCUCUUCUUACUUGUAACCAUCUGUAAUCCGACUACAACCACAACUCACUCCUUACAUUAAGCACAUCAUAUAAAGAAAGAAGAAAGAGAAGACAAUUCCAUGUAUUAAUAUUACCUACUGUUGAUACUCCAUUACAUCAUCCAUGUAAACUCCAUUCUUUUACAUGCAUCAUCCAUCGACGUCUAAGACACUUAUUGUUUAAACCAGCACAUAGACACAUGCAUUCUCAAACGUAUCGUACAUAAUUGGCUAAUGGGCACACUGAAUAGCACAUAAUAUAUAGCAUCUUCUCUUGCAUGGACUCAUGGCUCAAUGCAUUUCUUCUAGGACAAACGCACUUUAGCAGUAGACAGCCACUAAACCAUAGGAUCCUCCCUCUUCCCUUUAUUGAAGGCUUUGUAGACAAAUUUCAGGGCUUUGCAGACUAACUUCAGGACUUUGAGUACCAAUUUCCAGAUUAAGCGGAUUACAUGGCACAGGAAAAUAAGAGACAUCAACCAUGUCCAUGCUUUCACCGCAAUUACAACUACUGGAUCCUAAUUGGAUUAAGCGGAUCAUACGUUUUGUCCUUCUCCGGUGAGGCGAAUACCAUGAGGAUUGAAUAACUCAAUGCUGUGCAGGUUAUCGCAACCCACAUAGUUAGCAUUACAAUCCAAGUGGUGAUCCGACGCCGCUUUAAGGGAAGACCACUUAUGAGAAAUAUAAUGGUGCUAAGUGAUGCGAUGAAGCUUAUCGUGUUAGAUGCUUUGAAAAACUGGUAAUAGUCAUCGAAGCCGUUCAUUGCCUUUGCAGAUUCGUCAGGUGGGUCCUUACCCGCUUCGUAAGCUAUGGUAGCGACCAAUAUCGCCACAAUCAUUAGCGCCUCAUGCAUACCCUGUUGCCACUUUCUUUUCCUUUCCCUCUUGAUCUCUUUUUUCGUAAGUGGAUGGAAGGUGGUGCCCGUGUUAUUCGGAAAGACUGUUCCUUUGGACGGGUUGUGAUUCUCUGAAGUUUGAGGAACAGAAUUCACUAUCUCUAAGGCUCUUUCCAUGCUUUGGCCUUGUGCCAGUAGGCCUAGUGCUGUGAAACCUUUGGAGUUCGUAAUGUUUGGGUCUACUCCUUUAUUAGUAAGGAAGAUUAUAGUCUGCAGAGGAAUAACAACAGAAUGUACCAGUUGAUGUUAAGUUUGAACUAGACAAGCCCAUGUUAUAUACUUUUGAGGACUAAGUUUGCUUCUAGUGUUUUUAAGUCCUCAAAUGUUUGUGACUAUUAUGUGAUGUCUUCAAAAGGGAAUCUCAUUUCUUGUUGAAUUUCUUCUGCUUCUCUGUUUCUAUCUUCCUUCUAAUCUAGAAGAAAUUAGUGUGAAAAUAACGUGAAGCGUAAAGUCGUAGUUAAUUAUAUGGACAAAUGACUUCUUUCCCAAAUAUCAAGCCUGUGAUGAUUUAGGAAAAAGUAUAAGAAAAGUCUUAAACCUAGUUGAGACCUAGUCGAGCGGAAGUGUAUGGUUAGUGGUCGGUAAAAGGAAGAAAAGGAAAAAAGGAAAGAACAAAAUCAGAAAAAUAAUAUCAAAAAAAUAUAUUAUUAAAAAUUAUAUAUAUCAGCAUCGCUGUGCAACAUAGGACAGUCGGCGUCGAUAUUAGUAAUUUUUGGCCAAAAUUAGUCCGAUGGACUGAAUUGAUACUAAAUCAAAAAGUUUAGGACUAAAUUGACAUAAUUAAAAUGUUAAGGAUUUUUUUUAACACUUUCCCCAGUGAUUAAUAAAUAGAUGUCUUUUAACUUGCGAAUAUUUCUGGAACAUUCAUGUUUCCUAAAACCACCUUUUUUUGUUGAUAAGCUCAAUGAAUUUGACUAAUGUAAAGGCUUGGUUAUAUGAACAUACCUCAGUUUGUCCAUCUACAGCAGCUAAAUGUAAAAUUGUGUUACCAUCUUCGUCCCUUGAGUUGAUGAACUGAUCAUCACCCAAUAUAUCUAUCAAAAGCUUCAAAGCUUCCAGUCUGUUGUGCUUCACGCAUAAAUGCAGAAUCGUUUGGCCAUUUUCGAUGACACUAUGAGCUGCAUCAGGUGUUGCUCGAACCAAGCAUUCCAACACAUCCACAUGCCCUUUCAUAGCUGCAACAUGAAGAGGGUUUCUUUUGUAUUUGUCACGGAGGAAACAUAUUUCGGGGUUGACUCUUACCAAGCUUUCCACUAUGUGAAGAUACCCUUUUGCUGCCGCGAGAUGAAGAGGCGUCAAACUUUGAGAAUCUUGCUCUCUUGCCAGCUCAGUCUUUCGAGCUAGGAUCUCUUCCACAAAAUCCAAGUGUCCGAGCAUGGUUGCAACGUGCAAAUGAGUCUCAUUGCGAUUCCCAGUCAUAAUUCUGUCAAGAAGCAACUUAUCUUUUCCGAGUAACUCAAUCAAAGAACGCACAUUUCCUUCCACAGCAGCUUCAUAGAGCUCGGAAUCCAUGUUUGGCUCUCUAAAAUGGGAGUUUCGGGAUACUCACUACUCCAGUUUGGACUUGAAUAUAUACUGUAAAGGUAGGCUGACGAGGAUCAAAAAAUGAUUGGUGGAUAAUUUGACAUCUCUUAUCUGCAAGUACGUGGCUCAAGUUUCCGUUGGCCACACCUCGUUGCGCCUUGGAUGUUUCUGUACACACGCUAGGAGAGACGUUAGCUCACGGCUCUAUAGACCUAGUCAAACUCCGCCACGCCAAUCGUUCGUAGACAUUUGGAGUCUACUUACAACUUGUUCUUGGGGGUAGUAAGAAGGAACUCCAAAGUUAAACAUAUUCAAGUUAGAGCACUACUAGGAUGGUGACUUCUUGAAAAAGUAAGUGCCCAUAAGUUAGAGGACAAAACUGUGAGAUUCACUAUGGUAUAGGCCACAAAAAAGAUAAUACUUCGAGUGAGUUAAUUCAAUAAUGUUAUAAUAUGGUAUUAGAGUGGAACUCUCCCUAGUAAGUAUAUGGUUUAUGGAUGAACCACACGGAAGUUGGUGGACUCAUAAUGACUCAGUCUCAUGAGGGUGGGGAGUAGUCACCAAAACAAAGGGCUCGGAUAAUGAGCGGCUUAAGGUAGGCUUUUAGGAUGGCAGAGGGGGCGAAAAUGAACUGAAUUAUGCAUAGGAUAGAGGAAAAGCAAUUUUGGGAAGUAUGUGCGCAUCCACAAAAUUUGGAGUGGGAUGAGCCAAAACUGACAAUAACUCGAGUGAUUUAAUUUAAGGAUGUCUCACUAUAUAACUACUCAAACUUGGCAUCAUAGAUAGGUUAUAGACGCUUAAAAUCUACUUGCAACUAUUUCUUAAGGGAAUCAAGUAAAAACCCGCCAGCUCUUCUUCAAAUGUGUGUUUUGGCGAAUCGAAAUUUAAUUUGUUUGGAAGUCCCUGCCGUAGAUUGCCCUAAGGAAGCUCCCAUUCUCCUUUUGAUUGUUGCUUUUCUCUUAAUGCUUCAUUGUGACGAUGUUCUUCCCUUAAACCAUGACCAGACAUGUUUCUCAACUGCUACAAUGAAAUUAUAGCCUUCCCCAUAGAAAUCUGAGAAAUGCAACUCCCUCAUUUAAAAAAGUUUUAGACAUGAUGGAAAUACGAGAAAAGCAACUUUCUCCUUAGAAAAGUUUCUUAAAGAAGUUUUAGACAAGAUGGAAAUCUGAGAAAAGCAACAUUCUCUUUUAGAAACGUUUUCGGCGUGAAGUGGGCAACCCUGAGUUACUCAUUACAGUUACAUGAUAUUACCAAGAAUCAAUCAUCUGCAUUCUGCAUUCUGCAUUCUGCAUCACCCUCGCCUGGUUCAUCCAAAGGUCCUAGGGAUGUGAGGUAAGGGAACGAUUCUUCAAGUUCAUGUGAGGAUACAAUCUAUAUAUAAACAGAGGCUAUUCCUUCAUAUGUUCGGUGGAUUAAUUCACAGAUACGGCUUUUGCCCCAUGUAUGUCUUUUUGCAUGUUUGCGCACGUGUGUUAAAACUUUAGAUUGGCCGAUUUGAGCGGCAAGAAUGUUGAGCAUAAAAAUCUCCUAUGUCAGAAUCGAAGAUUUUUGAAGAAUUAUGAGACUCUUAAUGGAUAAACAUAGUGUCAUAGUCCCCGAGGCCUUCUCACAAUGUUAGACAUGAUUGGCUAAGAUCGAUGACCAUGAUUUUCUACCGUACUUUCCCGAGCGAUCAAAGAUACAUCAACAUCAUUCGUUUUCCUUUUCUUUCACAUAUGGACAUGUAUGAACGCGUGACGUUAACUUACAUAGACCAAAAGCAAGUAGCGUCACCACCAAAUGGUCCAUGGAUGUAUCCCCCAAUUCCCCAAACGCUGCAUGUGAACUUCAAAAGCUUCUGCUAUAGUCUUAUUUCGGCCUGCAAAUUACCUAAUUCUUCAGGAGGAUUAUUCAACUUUAUAGAUUGUGUUAAUUUACCUUAGAGAUUACUAAAUAGGGACAUUCACCUUUUUAAUACACGUAGUCCAUUUGAUUAAUCUGAAUUAAUCAAUCUCAUCUUCCCAUCAUAGUGCACACUCGAACGUGGAGUAAAUGCAAGGCUUGCCAUCAUUUUAGUAAAUGCUUCGCCAGGUAAGAUUUCUUUGAUGAAAAACUGUUAAGAAGUAUUUGAAAUUUAGAUUUUAAAUGUCUAUUAAGAUAGUUCCAAGUUUUUUUUUUUAAUUUUUUUAAAGAUAAGUUAUCAAUCAAAUAAAGUGCAAAAAGUUAUAAACUUAUUACAUUUGUGCCAUUUAGUUUUAAAUCUUUUGAUUUAGUACCAAUUUAGUCAUUCUGAGAAAUUUUGUCAAUAUAUUGUUGACGUGGACGUUGUUGGCUUACGUGGCACAGCUAGUACUAACAAGGAUAAUUUUUAUAUAAUUUUUUGGUUUUUUUCUUUUUUUUCUAUCUCUUUUUUCUUUCCAUUCUUCUUCAUUUUGUUGGUGACCGGCCACAUGCAAUGGUUGGGCUGGUUGGCCUUGCCUAGCCAUGGCAAGGCUGAGCCCCAGCGAGGGCUUCCUUGGCAUAAGCCAGGGUUGGCCUCACCUAGGCCAAAUCUGGCGAGGCCAACUUGCCUCGAUGUUGCCUGUGGUUAGUCACCGGCAAAAGGAAGAAGAAAGAACAGACAAAAAGAAAGAAAAAAAUUAGACAAAAUAAUAAAAUAUUAAAAAAUUAUUGUUAGUGCCAGUGAUGCCACGUUAGUCGGCUAGCGUCCAUGUCAACAAUAUCCAACUAAAAUUUAUUGGAAAGACUGAAUUGAUAUCAAACUAGGACUAAAUUGAAACAAAUAUAAUAGACUUAUGAUUAAAUUGAUAUUAAUAAAAUAAGUUUGUGACUUUCUGAUACUUUUCUCCUAUCAAUCAUAGAGUAUCUGUAAUUCAAUUAUUACUUAUUUUAAUAAAUAGAACUUGGAAGAACCUUGCUAGUCGAAAUCUGAGAUUGACAAUUGCUUCCCAACAAUGGCUAGAAAUGGAAAAGAAGAAAGAAAACUACCAUUGACCAUGCAUGUUAGCGAUAAUUUCUAAACAAUGAAUUUGUUUAUCAUAGUUGAAAAGCCCAUUUUGAAAACUUAAACUGAUAGAUGGACAUAAAAGAAAAUGUAAAGUACACACGAAAUAAACUAGGGCACAAUUUGGCUUUGAUAUUUCGUUCAAAGAUUCAACUUAAAAGUUUGAAUUGAUAAUAGAGGGAGAUGACAUAUAUAUAAUGUAGAUAAACCUCACCGUCAAGCAAUAUGAAAUAUUUCAACAGUCAUACUUUGAAAAAAAUUAAGGUUGAAAGUUAACUAAUAAUUUGCUUCAUAUGUCUCGUAAUUAUAAGAAUCAUACAAGCUCCCAUUUGUGGGGGCAAAUGUCGUGGUGAGUAUCAGUCCAGGGUCAACCCUGGACCGACCCUGGACCGGCCCAACCCUGCCAAUCCUAGUCCGGUUCCCAGGAAGACUAAGGCAGUCCUAAGUCCUAAGAUUCAUGGAUCAGCACUGUGCGGAUUAGUUAUCGAUCUUGAGAGUUCAAUGUCGAUCCAACCCGGACCAACCCUGACUAUAUAUAUAAAAUAUUAUUUAUAAUUUUUUUUGGUAAAUUUAUUUAUAAUUUUUUUAUGUAAAGAAAACCUUAAAAUAAAUGGCGUCAACAACAUUAAAUAACUAUUUAGUGAGUAGUUCAAGUAAUUUUACAUUAUUCUUUAAUAAUUUAGACUUUUAAUGUCUUUUACGGUGUUAAUAGUUAUAAUUUACGAAUGAGGAAAAUGUUUUUGUGAGAAGUCCUUACGGUGUCCAAAAUGGCAUAAACAGCUCCUUAUGGCAUCCUCCUUUAGUACUCAUUCUCUUUUAUCUUAUUUGUCUUCUUAGUCUUCAAUUUGCCAAAAUUGAGAGAAACAACUUCUUCGCUUGCCACUCAACACUCGUCUUGCUUGCUGUGGGUCACUCGUGCCGCUCGCCGCUUGAUGCUCGUUUAGCUUGCUCCCCGCUCGACACUCGAUGCUCACUCCGUUCGACGCUCACCCUACUCGACCCUCAUCGCUUGCCUUUCUUAACUGACCUCGCUCGUCAUCGAAUUCAAUGGGUCGGUCCGGUCCUUGGUUACCCUUUUAAGGAGUACAAAAAAUGAAAUAGAAAAUUAUUGAUUGGUCUCGGGUUGACCCUGAACCGGACCAAACCCAUUGGGUCGGUCUGGUCCUCUGUGACAUCCCGAUUUUCUGAUUCUAUUUUCAAUAAAUUGAGACGGGCAUUUCGUUGGCACACAUAUAGUUCUUUUCCUUAAGUCGGCCACUCAUGUGAAAACUAGUCUAUCGGGUGAAGCUGUUAAUAAUUUCUAAUGCAUCAGACUCGAGAAUUUGACCAGAAAGCGAUCUUUCGACUGAGCUAAUCUGCAAAGGUCAUUACGGCACAAUUAAAAAUCGAUUAGAGAUUGGAGAUAGGUCGACUCGAUAGAGGCAUGUGAUCGAGUGUGGGUGAUUCCACCAGAUUGCACAAUUCUUGUCGAUCGGCAUUGGACCGACUUUUCUGUCGAUUGGGUACCCUGUGUUCGUAUUUGAAACCUUGAGAUUACUCCGACAACCGAAAGUCGCCAAUGUUUUAGAGAUGUACAUUGUGGCUUGAGAUGAUCAACCAUAGGUGAAAUGCAUGAAAAUUUCUAAAGGCUACCCGAUAGGUUGGGCCGCGCUAGUAUUGUGUCAAGGUGAAAUUAACCGUGGAAUUGAGAUCGAAUUCAGGAAUUGGAAGUCUGGUGUGUCACAAAUCAUUUUAGGAAUAUUAACUCAUCUUUGGAGGAUUUUUCAUGCAAUCAGAGUUCUUUGGCAAAUUAAAUCCGAGAAUGGCUAUUUUAGCUCGAGAAAUUAGUAGGCCGCUUUUGGUCGCGCUUUUGGGACUUAAGUUGGUUCUACGGACAAGUGAAGAUGUGAAUUGAAAUGUGGUGACAUUGGAUUAAUUUUAUGGACUUCAAUUUGAACUCAAUUGGAAGAGAAUUGAUGGGAAUUGAAGAAAUGUGAUGUACAAGAAUUGGACCUCGGCGGAAAAUGAAAGUGCAACCACUGGAGAAGUUAUGGGAGGGGGUUUGAGUGAGUGGAAGAUGACAUAGGAUGAUGUCAUGGUGGUUGAGGCCAAGGGUUGAGAUCUUGACAAAUGGAGGGUGGAGAUUGGCUCUUGAAAAUGUGAGCUUUCACUUCAUCUUCAACCUUGGGAAGAAAGAGAGAGAGAGAGAGAGGGGGGAAGGAAGGGAGCAGCUCGUGCGUGCAGCAGCCCGACGGAAGCCAGCCGAGCUCGCGCCCGCACGCCCGUUGCCGGAGCUUGCUGUCGUCGCCGCCGCCGCAGCGCGUCUACCCUCGCGUCGCCCGUGUGCCUCGCCGCUCGCCCUACCCGCUCCAUCUCCAUCUUCAUCUUCUUCUUCUUCUUCGAAAGCCCAGCAAACCAGCGAACCAGAGAAGCUUCGUCUGAAGUCACCGCCGCUCGUUGCCGUUGCCGGAGUUGUCGCCCGUCCGCGCCCGCUCGCCCGCACGACCGCCCAGCUUGCCGAUUCCGCCUCUGUUCAGCCGCUGCUCGCGUGUCAAGGACCCUCCAGCGUUGUCGUCCGACUGUCCAGCCGCCCGUUUGUCGUCGCCAAGGCCGCCGGAGGCCCCGCGUAGCCGCCGUGAGCCACUACCCGAGCUACCACCUCCUUCCUCCGCUGUUCCUCCGCCCGAUUAAGCUCGGAUUUGCCCUCCUUCGGCCCCAAGCAGCAGCCAAGAAAAUGGGUAUGGCAGCCCAUGUUUGGCCCGUUUUGGCCGCCUUUCCGAGCCCGGAUGCUCGGCCCGCCUCGAGGAAAGUCGAUCCUCGCGCCGUCCCCGUCGUUUUGGUCCGCUCGGCUCGCUAAUCCGAUGAGUUUAGCUCACUAAACCUCGCUUAGAGGGUUAAUUAUGCUUAGGGAGGUUUAGUUUAUGUUAAGUAUUAUUAGGUUGUUAGUUUAGGUUAUUUAAGAGUAGAUUAGAUUAAGGUGGUGUUUUAAUUUAAAGUGUGCUUAAUUAAAGGUAAGUAGUUUUAUUUAAAAUAAGCCUUGAUUUGACCUAAAUGAAUUUACUUUUGAUUUAUUUGAAUGUCCUGAAAUUAUUAAAUAAUUUAAUAAUAUAUUAUUAUUCGAAAUUAUUAAAAUAUUAUUAUUUAAUUAUUUUCGGAAUAAAUUUAAUUAUUUAUUAAAUUCCAAAAAUUUUGUCAGGACCCUAAAUUCUCAGAAUUUCGUGCCGGUCGCUGCUGUGUAGUCAGUUUUUGAAAUUGAUGAUUGGAUAUUAUAAAUUGAGCGUGGAUCGUGAAAUAUAUGGAUAUUAUUAUUUAAUUAAUUUUCGGAAUAAAUUUAAUUAUUUAAUAAAUUCUGAAAAUUAUUUCAGAACCUUAUUUUCUUAGAAUUUCAUGCUGAUCGCUGCUGUGCAUUUAGAAUUUGAAUUUGAUGAAUGGAUGUGGCAAAUUGAGUGUUGAUUGUGGUAAACAAGGAUUUUAUUCAUAAAAAUCCAAGUGUCGGGUUUUGAUGCAAAAAUUGGAUUUUAAUGAUUAUAUUAAAUAGUGGGGUUUGAAAAAGUGAGAUAUUGGCUUUCUGAUUUGAAAUUAGCGUGUCCCCACACAUGUGAGUAAUUUUUAGAAUAUUUUUAAUAUGAAGAAAAAUGGUCGGGAUCACUAUUUUAAGUGGAAGCAUUGAGUGAAAUAUAAAGUGUCCCGGGGCCGAGUAUGCUUUGGCUGUGUGAUAACUAAGAGGAAUCGUCCUGGGCUGUUGAGCCGGACUUGCCCCUAUAUGGGAUGCCCACGCGGUGGAUGCGGGUCGCAGUUGAUUCUGGGCCCAUGCUCCUUCGGGAACGCCGUCGAUGUACUGACGAAGCCGCGCUCCAAGGGGGGAGGCGAUGCCUGGCUAUAUGUCAGUAGAUAGCCGAACUGCGAGUAGGCUAUGCCCUUGUGUGGCAGUGAAUAACAAUUGGAAUGCAUGUUGAGUGUGGUUGAUGUGCUGGAUUAUAGGACGAAAUUAUGUGGCAUGGAAUGGGACGUGUCAUAACGAUUUAGUCUUAUAAUCAGGACCCCCGCGGUUGUUAGUUAUAUGAAAGAGAAUGCGUUCCGGUUGUUUAAGUUCCUAUUACUAUCUGUGAUUGAGUGAUUUGAAUUGCACUAACCUGCAGGAAGGAACUGAGGCGAGGUAAGUCUUCUAUGUGAUGUGGCUAGGCCACCCGAGGUGUAUUUUCUUUCUAAUAGGGGUUUAGGGGGUUGAACUUGCUGAGACAUCGUCUCAUCCCGGUUGUGGGAUUAAAAUUUCAGGUCCUUGGUGGACGGAGCGACCAGAUAGCUUUGGUUGGCAUUGAGGAGUUGCAGAGGUGAAGUCAUAAGAUUGGAAAACGUGUCCGACUUGUAGGUCAUAGGACAAUUCCUUUUUUAAGAGCCGGUCUUUUGUAGACUUUUGGCCGUAGACCUCUAUUUGUAAUUCUGUUGAAUUAUGAAAGUGUUAUGUUGUGGUUUUGCUUCUUGCUUUUCUAUCCCGUAUUUUAUUGUCAGGGGUUUUAUAAUACAUUUCGCUUGCGCAUUAAUAAAUGAAUGGGGUCGGCGACACUACCUGGGAAUGUCGCAUUUGCAUGACCAUGGUGGGAUGUUGGCGCGCUCGAGGUUUGGGGCGUGACAUCCUCAAUCGCUUUUUCAAGGAGCAUAAAAAAUGAAAUAAAAAAUUAUCGGUUGGUCUCAAGUUGACCCUAGAACCGAACCGAACCCAGUGGAUCGGUUUUGUCUUCGGUCCCAAGCUCAAUAGGAUCGGUCCUCGAUCCCAAAAAUUAAGGACCAUCAUUGUGCGGGUUGGUCCUAAGGUUAGGGGGUGGACCGGCCCAACCCGGACCAUGCUUACCCCUAAAUUAUACAAGCUUCAAAACAAAGGAGGCAUGACGGGAUCAUAUCAUUAGCCACGAGUCUAGGGUCUGCUACAAAAAAAAAAAAAAAAAAAAAGGGACCGUGUCCCACGUGCAAAAUUGACUGAUUACCAACAAAAAGGAAAUUUAUGAACUGUAAGAUCACUUUUGCAUUUACUAAUACGUAAGAACGUAGAGGUAAUUUUACGACGUUGAAACUAAUUUUAUGAACGCAAAAGGAAUUAUGGGUUUGCAUUGUACACAGUUGCGGAUGUCCAUAAAUAAUAAUUUUCGGACUCUGUUUUAAUUGAUUGGGCUUGUUCAUGCAGUCAAACUCGACAUUCUCAACAAUUAGAAACGUUGGUUGAAGACUAAGCAUAAAUGCACUUAUGACACCAUUGCUCGUUUCAAGCAUCUUCCUAACACAGUCCACCUAAGCUAAAUAAUCUUUGCUGAAGAAUAAGGUACUGCGCAUGCUCAAAUAAGAAUAUAAGAAGAGCUUUACAAGUUCACAUGCCGUGUUUAGGAAAUUGGGGAUGCAUCUGAGGACCAUUUGGCGGGGACAUCGUAUUCAUUUGGCCUACAGGUCAAGUUCACGCUUUCAUAUAUGUCCAUAUUCGUAAGAAAAGGACAAAAAUGGUGUUUGAAAUAUCUGUGAUUGUUUGCGAAAUUACCUUAGAGAAUUUUGGUCUUUGAUUAUCGCCAAUCAUGUCUAACAUUGCGUGUAAACAGUCCGGUCGCGGUUUGAGGGAAGAACAUCAUCGCACGGGUUACGAUUCCUCUGCCUUGGAAAGGUGCCUCAAGUGUAGAUUCGCUGCAUCAGUCCUUUUUGAGAAUUAAUUAUAGUCGAAGCGAGCUUAUGACCUUCUCCAUGUCUGCUCAGAGGCCGCUCGUUUCGCAAGAGCUUCUUCGACCUGGAGCCAUUCUUCUCCUCGUUUGCUCCAACACCGGCUCCCAACUCCUUCCCUCCCCUUGACGAGCGGAUCGGUCGCCCAUAACACUUGUACCUGCAUCAAAUUCAUCAUCUUGAAUGACACCAACCGGGACUUGGCGGGACUUCAGGUUGAGGAGCAGUUCAGGGACAUGCCCAUCAUGACCAGUGCCGGAGGAGGUGAAGACAUGGCGGCCGGCAGGUCGUUGGAGGCAGAAGGAUUGGGGCAAGUGAAGGGACGUGGCACUUGGAGAUGGAGGAAGACUCAUUGUCUUGUCUGGACGCCGUGGACGGCCCAAGUCUCGUAGGUGCGUGGGUUUUGACAUAAUGGGUUGGACUAUAGUUUUUUUCAGUCCAUCUUAGCCCAUUUUAGGGGAAAAUAAAUAAAUAAAACGAGUUACUGGUACCAAAUUGGGCUCAUUAAAUUUGAGUCAUAAAAAUGCCGGGGGACGCGAAGGCCUGGCGGCCGGCAGGUCAUCAGAGGCGGAAGGAUCGGGGCAAGAGAGGGGGCGGCAGCACUUGGAGAUGGAGGAAGACUCAUUGUCUCGUCUGGACGGCCUGAGUCUCGUGGAUUUGUGGGUUUUGAAAUAAUGGGCUGGACUAUAGUUUUCUUACUCCAUAUUAGCCCAUUUUGGGAAAAAAAAAAAACAAGUUACUCGUAUCAAAUUAGGCUCAUUAAAUUUGAGUCAUAAAAAUGACGGGAUCAUAUCAUUAGCCACGGGUCUGGAGUCUGCUGUGAGAAAAAAAGUGACCGCAUCCCAGGUGCCAAAGCGGCUGGUUACCAACACAGAUAAUUUAUGAAUCGCAAGAUCAUUUUCGUAUUUACUAGUACUUAAGGACGUAAAGGUAAUUUAAUAACGCUGAAACUAAUUUUAUGAACACAAAAGUAUGACUUACAAACAUCAUUUUGUAGUUAUGAUACAAUAAAGACGUUACUACAAUUAGACCGUGCUAGCAAUUUAUGUGGCUCAAGUCUCCGUUGAGCCUGGACAUCCUUUGAUCAUGCAAAGCAAUCGCACUCUAGUCAUGCAAAACUAGUUGUGGAAUCAUUUCAUUCGUACAAACAUGAAAUUACGUAACCUAGGCACUUUCAAAGAAAUUAUACUCUCAUAUGGUCGUGUUAGGAAGAUGGUUACAAAUGAUAAUAGUACCAUUAGCACAUUAGAUUUGGUCUUCUCAACAUGGUAAUUCCUAAUGAUUUCAAGCUUGUGAAUGGUUUAAGCUCAAUGUGGAGGCAUUAGCCUUGCCAUGCCACCAACGAAUUCUGCCAAAGAGAGUUGAUCUUCAUUUUCUACCAUGAUGGUUGGGAUCUCAACUUUGUCGUCAAGGCUUGCGGCCAUGUAUGGGCCACCGUCGCUGGAUGGGUGGACAAGCUACCUCAUGAGAUGGACGAGACCAGAUCUGGAGGCACAAACGCAUCAAGCUUUGCCAUCAAAGUGGCCAGUGCUGUGUCCAGGCCGAACAUUGUUGCCAUAAAGGGCAAAAUGAAUUGGCGUUGCAAAAAUUCAAAGAUCACAAAACUCAAUGGAAAGUCGCAGUAAGAGAAGCAACUGAAGAUGGAGCCAUAAUGCCACCCACUCACUCACCACAGGCGGUGAUCUCUCUCUCUACUCGUCCACCUUGAGGAUGGCGGGGCUCGCCACCGGGUCCUCCUCCUCGGGGACGUCCCCGCCCAUGUCGUCCAUGUCCAUGUCGUCGUCGUCGUCGUUCUCGACGUUGCUCGAGGCCGGGAACUCGAAGUCGUCGUCCAUGGCGAGCGGCGUCUUCGGGUCGGAUCACGAAACGGAGGAACGAUCGCAAGGGAAGCCAACGCACUUCGGCUCCUCCUCCUUCUUUUUCUUCCCCUUGAUCUUAUUCCACCGAUCCUUACACCACGGGAGGUAGGGUGUAGAUGGCCUCCUUUUCUCAAAGAAAACUUUCUUUUUCUCCUUCAUUUGCUCAUUGUCUCUUCCGAUAUGAUUAAUUCGGAACAUCAUAGUGGGCUUGAGGUCCUGAAGCUUCUGCGGCUUCUUGAACUCACAUCGGAACUUCUCUAGCUCCCUUUCUUUUGCCUCGAGCUCUCGAUCCUUCUGCCUUAUCAUCUCAUCCAUUUUCUUCAACAUAUUCUCCAUCUUUGUCUUCUCAACUUUCAGCUUCUUUAUCAUCUCUUGCAGUUUCUUUUCACGAUUGCUUAUUGGCAUUGUUAGUUGCUUCUUCGAGUUCUCCCUUGGCUUGCUCUUAUUUGGGGUCGUGAUGGAACCUGUCGAAUUAUCCAACUCAACUAUACAAGCUGUUGCAAGCUCUUCUCGUUCCUUCAUUGCAACAGGCGCUUGAAAGUCCCAUUCUUCUUCGCUUUCAAUCUCCUUCUUACAAGAAGUGACGAGAUUUCCUUCUUCAUGCCUAUUCCAACAAAAUCUGGAAAUAUGUCCUACCUUGCCACAAACGUAGCACCGUUUGCUACGCCUUUUGUUGCUCUUAUCUUCACCAUCAUCAUCAUCAUCGCAAUCUUGACGAGCUCCCCCUGACUGAUAACCCUUCUCUUCUAGUUGCCUUCUCCAAUCUCCAUGACUUUUCCACGGUUUGCCAUCUCUUGCACUUGCUCUAUUUCUAUUUUGGCCCUUGAACCCUCUUUUAUUACUAAAGAGGGCACUUUCAUCCUUCUUAAUUGAGACCUUAGGGAUUUGUUUAUCUAAGGCCUCUUGGUUGGCCAAUAUAUUCUCCAACUCUGUUAGAGUUGGCUCAUUUGCCCAUCCACGGGUGGUCGUAACAAUACUGUUAUACUCUGGCCUUAAUCCAUGAAUUAUUAUUCUUCUCAUUCUUGUCUCAGAGAUGGCAUUCUGAGGAUCUAAUUUUGAAAUUUCUUCACAAAUAGAUUUAACUUUAGAAAAGUAUUGACUUACCGUCAUACUUUGUUGCGAGAUUGAGAAGAGCUCGUUCUCCAGGCAUUGUAACUUGGCAUCGUUUGUCCUCGCAAACAGCGUCGCCAAGUUAUCCCAAGCCUCCUUUGGGGUCUUUGCACUCUUUAUGUGUUGCAAUAAUUCAUCAUCAACAGUCACAGCAAGAACGUAAAGAGCCUUACCUGACUUGAUGUUCCACUUUCUUAAAUCACUAUCAUUUGUGGGUGGGGUGGUGUUGUUGCCGCCAACAAUAUCCCAUAAAUCUUGUCCAAGCAAAUAAUACUGCAUGCGAGUACUCCAAUUAUUAUAAUUAAAGUCGUUGAGUUUCUCCAUACCGUUCACCGGACUCGAGAAAUCCACCAUGGUGACUUGAGUAUAAUGCCCCGCACUAUACCAAGUAAGCCUGGUCCCAAACCAACCGACUUCACAAUCCCAGAUUGUGCACUGGCAGAACUCCGAUGUCCUUCGCUUCUUCGCUCCUUGGCUCGACGAUCCCUGACCGCCUUGCUCACUUACAAUGGUCCCCGACCACUGUCUUCGCACGGCCUCCGACGACCUGCUCUGAUACCACUUGUUGAAAAAUCAAGUGAAUGUACAAGUAAAAUAAUCACUUGAUUUUAUAUAAGUAAUAUUGCAAACUCUCUACACAGAACACUCUCAUACACCUCUCUCACCUCACAUGAACACAAUUUCUUGCACACACCCACUCACUCUUUCUCACUCUACACUUCACGCCACCUACUCCCACCCACUCACACACUCACGUACACACCCCACACUUUACGUACACACUCCUCACACUUCUUACACUUCAAGAGACAACAGCCCCUAUUUAUAGGAGCCAAAGUCGGCACAUCCACCGACUUCCCACACCAUCUUCUUCCUAUUAUUUUAUUGCAACUUGGGUCAACAAUUGCGGCUGAGGAAUUGUCUGGAGAGAGGGAGAGAGAUCCGGACGAGUAGAGAGAGAGAUCUGGAGAGUUCUAGGAGAGAGAGGCGGUGAUCUUCAACACAAUUGCUUUAUUUUAUAUAAACAAUAUUACACCACUCUCAUACACCUCUCACACCUCACACGAACACAAUUCUUGCACACACAUCCACUCACUUACUUCAGUCUACACUCACGUCACCUACUCCACCCACUCACUCACUUACGUACACACUCCACUCACAUCACACACUCGGGGACGUCGCAGUAAGAGAAGCUUGGCUUCGUCCUCAAGGUGGACGAGUAGAGAGAGAGAUCACCGCCUGUUUUUUCUCGUACGUGGAUGGCUUUAUGGCUCCAUCUUCAGUUGCUUCUCUUACUGCGACUUUCCAUUGAGUUUUGUGAUCUUUGAAUUUUUGCAACGCCAAUUCAUUUUGCCCUUUAGUCUCAUUUUCCUUCUUCUUACUCAAUUCAGUCUUCGUAUUUAGCAUAUCUCCUCUAAGAAUUUUGAGAUUAGAACUCAUUCGAUCAAGCCUCUCAUUUGUGACUUUCAUUUCGUGCUUCAACCGAUUCAAUCCCAUCCGAAGCACUUCAAUGUAGACCUCUUGAUCCUUUUUCUCAUAAAAUUUCUUCCCCUUGAUCUUAUUCCACUAAUUCUUACACCACGGGAUGUAGGGUGUAGAUGGCCUCCUUUUCUCAAAGAAAACUUUCUUUUUCUCCUUCAUUUGCUCAUUGUCUCUUCCGAUAUGAUUAAUUCGGAACAUCAUAGUGGGCUUGAGGUCCUGAAGCUUCUGCGGCUUCUUGAACUCACAUCGGAACUUCUCUAGCUCCCUUUCUUUUGCCUCGAGCUCUCGAUCCUUCUGCCUUAUCAUCUCAUCCCUUUUCUUCAACAUAUUCUCCAUAUUUGCCUUCUCAACUUUCAACUUCUUUAUCAUAUCUUGCAUCUCAUGCAAUUUCUUUUCAUGACUGCUUGUUGGCAUUGUUAGUUGCUUCUUUGAGUUCUCCCUUGGCUUGCUCUUAUUCGGGGUCGUGAUGGAACCUGUCGAAUUAUCCAACUCAACUAUACAAGCUGUUGCAAGCUCUUCUCGUUCCUUCAUUGCAACAGGCACUUGAAAGUCCCAUUCUUCUUCACUUUCAAUCUCCUUCUUGCAAGAAGUGACGACAUUUCCUUCUUCUCGCCUGUACCAACAGAAUCUGGCAAUAUGUCUUAACUUGCCACAAAUGUAGCACCGUUUGCUAGGCCUUUUGUUGCUCUUAUCUUCGUCGUUGUCGUCGUCACGAUCUUGACGAGCUCCCCCUGGCUGAUAACCCUUCUUUUUGGGUUGCCUCCACCAAUCUCCAUGAUCUUUCCAUGGUUUGCCAUCUCUUGCACCUGCUCUAUUUCUAUUCUGGCCCUUGAACCCUCUUUUAUUACUAAAGAGGGCACUUUCAUCCUCCUUAAUUGAGACCUUAGGGAUUUGUUUAUCUAAGGCCUCUUGAUUGGCCAAUAUAUUUUCCAACUCAGUUAGAGUUGGCUCAUUUGCCCAUCCACGAGUGGCCGUAACAAUACUGUUAUACUCCGGCCUUAACCCACGAAUUAUUAUUAUUCUCAUUCUUGUCUCAGAGAUGGCAUUCUCAGGAUCUAAUUUUGAAAUUUCUUCGCAAAUAGAUUUAACUUUAGAAAAGUAUUGACUUACCGUCAUACUUUGUUGCGAGAUUGAGAGGAGCUCGUUCUCCAGGCAUUGUAACUUGGCAUCGUUUGUCCUUGCAAACAGCGUUGCCAAGUUAUCCCAGGCCUCCUUCGGGGUCUUUGCACUCUUUAUGUGUUGCAAUAAUUCAUCAUCAACAGUCACGGUAAGAACGUAAAGAGCCUUACUUGACUUGAUGUUCCACUUUCUUAAAUCACUAUCAUUUGUGGGUGGUGUGGUGUUGUUGCCGCCAACAAUAUCCCAUAAAUCUUGUCCAAGCAAAUAAUACCGCAUGCGAGUACUUCAAUUAUUAUAAUUAAAGUCAUUGAGCUUCUCCAUCCCGUUCACCAGACUCGAGAAAUCCACCAUGGUGACUUGAGUAUAAUGCCUCGCACUAUACCAAGUAAGCCUGGUCCCAGACCAACCGACUUCACAAUCCCAGAUUGCGCACUGGUAGAACUCCGACGUCCUUCGCUUCUUCGCUCCUUGGCUCGACGAUCCCUGACCGCCUUGCUCAGUCCCCGACCACUGUCUUUGCACGGCCUCUGACGACCUGCUCUGAUACCACUUGUUGAGAAGUAAGUGGAUGUAAAAAUAAUUACUUUUAUUAUAGAACAAUAUUACAACUCUCUAUUUUAUCGUCCUCUCACAACAACUCAUUGUACUUACUUACCCACUCCCUCACAACCUCACACGGACACAACUCUCGCACACACCCACUUACUCUCUAUUUCUCUACACUUCACGCCACCUACUCCACCCACUCACACACUCACGUACACACUUCACUCACGCACACAACACCCCUCACACUUACACUUCAAGAGACAACAGCCCCUAUUUAUAGGAGCCAAAGUCGGCACAUCCACCGACUUCCCACACCAUCUUCUUCCUAUUAUUUUAUUGCAACUUGGGUAAACAAUUGCGGCUUGUUGAAAAAUCAAGUGAAUGUACAAGUAAAAUAAUCACUUGAUUUUAUAUAAGUAAUAUUGCAAACUCUUUACACACACCACUCUCAUACACCUCUCUCACCUCACAUGAACACAAUUUCUUGCACACACCCACUCACUCUUUCUCACUCUACACUUCACGCCACCUACUCCCACCCACUCACACACUCACGUACGUACCCCACACUUUACGUACACACUCCUCACACUUCUUACACUUCAAGAGACAACAGCCCCUAUUUAUAGGAGCCAAAGUCGGCACAUCCACCGACUUCCCACACCAUCUUCUUCCUAUUAUUUUAUUGCAACUUGGGUCAACAAUUGCGGCUGAGGAAUUGUCUGGAGAGAGGGAGAGAGAUCCGGAUGAGUAGAGAGAGAGAUCUGGAGAGUUCUAGGAGAGAGAGGCGGUGAUCUUCAACACUCCCCCUCACCGACUACUCUCUCUUAAUUUAGAUAUAGUAGCCGUUCCGAUAUUGCUUUUGGACUCUUCAACUGUCUUCCUCCAUUCAACAUAUUGCGAAGCUUCCUCAUAUGUGGAUGACUCUAUGGCUCCAUCUUCAGUUGCUUCUCUUGCUACAACUUUCCAUUGAGCUUUGUGAUCCUUAAACUUUUGCAAUGCCAAUUCAUUCUGCCCUUUGGUCUCCUUUUCCUUCUUCUUACUCAAUUCGGUCUUUGUAUUCAACAUAUCUCCUCUAAGAAUUUUGAGAUUGGAACUCACCUGGUCAACCCUCUCAUUCGUGACUUUCAUUUCGUGCUUCAACCGAUUCAGUCCCAUCCGAAGCACUUCAAUGUAGACCUCUUGAUCCUUUUUCGCAUAAAAUUUCUUCCCUUUGAUCUUAUUCCACCAAUCCUUACACCACCGGAUGUAGGGUGUAGAUGGCCUCCUUUUCUCAAGGAAAACUUUCUUUUUCUCCUUUCAUUUGCUUAUUGUCUCUUCCGAUAUGAUUAAUUCGGAACAUCAUAGCGGGCUUGAGAUCCUGAAACUUCUGCAGCUUCUUGAACUCACAUCGAAACUUCUCUAGCUCCCUUUCUUUUGCCUCGAGCUCUCCAUCCUUUUGCCUUAUCAUCUCAUCCCUUUUCUUCAACAUAUUCUCCAUCUUUGCCUUCUCAACUUUCAGCUUUUUUAUCAUAUCUUGCAUCUCAUACAAUUUCUUUUCACGAUUGUUUGUUGGCAUUUGCUUCUUCAAGUUCUCCCUUGGCUUGCUCUUAUUCGGGAUCGUGAUAGAACCUGUCGAAUUAUCCAACUCAACUAUACAAGCUGUUGCAAGCUCUUCUCGUUCCUUCACUGCAACAGGCGCUUGAAAGUCCCAUUCUUCUUCGCUUUCAAUCUCCUUCUUGCAGGAAGUGACGACAUUUCCUUCUUCUCGCUUGUACCAAAAGAAUCUGGCAAUAUGUCCUACCUUGCCACAAACGUAGCACUGUUUGCUACGCCUUUUGUUGCUCUUAUCUUCGUCGUUGUCGUCGUCACGAUCUUGACGAGCUCCCCCUGGCUUAUAACCCUUCUCUUCUGGUUGCCUUCGCCAAUCUCCAUGAUUUUUCCAUGGUUUGCCAUCUCUUGCACCUGCUCUAUUUCUAUUCUGGCUCUUGAACCCUCUUUUAUUACUGAAGAGGGCACUUUCAUUCUCCUUAAUUGAGACCUUAGAGAUUUGUUUAUCUAAGGCCUCUUGAUUGGCCAAUAUAUUUUCCAACUCAGUUAGAGUUGGCUCAUUUGCCCAUCCUCGGGUGGCCGUAACGAUACUGUUAUACUCCGGCCUUAACCCAUGAAUUAUUAUUCUUCUCAUUCUUGUCUCAGAGAUGGCAUUUUGAGGAACUAAUUUUGAAAUUUCUUCGCAAAUAGAUUUAACUUUAGAAAAGUAUUGACUUACCGUCAUACUUUGUUGCGAGAUUGAGAGGAGCUCGUUCUCCAGGCAUUGUAACUUGGCAUCAUUUGUCCUCGCAAACAGCUUGCCAAGUUAUCCCAGGCCUCCUUCGGGGUCUUCGCACUUUUUAUGUGUUGCAAUAAUUCAUCAUCAACAGUCACGGCAAGAACGUAAAGAGCCUUACCUGACUUGACGUUCCACUUUCUUAAAUCACUAUCAUUUGUGGGUGGUGUGGUGUUGUUGCCGCCAACUAUAUCCCAUAAAUCUUGUCCAAGCAAAUAAUACUGCAUGCGGGUACUCCAAUUAUUAUAAUUAAAGUCAUUGAGCUUCUCCAUCCCAUUCACCAGAAUCGAGAAAUCCACCAUGGUGACUUGAGUAUAAUGCCCCGCACUAUACCAAGUAAGCCUGGUCCCAGACCAACCGACUUCACAAUCCCAGAUUGUGCACUGGUAGAAUUCCGACGUCCUUCUCUCCUUCGCUCCUUGGCUCGACAAUCCCUGACCGCCUUGCUCACUUACAAUGGUCCCCGACCACUGUCUUCGCACGGCCUCUAACGACCUACUCUGAUACCACUUGUUGAAAAAUCAAGUGAAUGUACAAGUAAAAUAAUCACUUGAUUUUAUAUAAGUAAUAUUGCAAACUCUUUACACACACCACUCUCAUACACCUCUCUCACCUCACAUGAACACAAUUUCUUGCACACACCCACUCACGCUUUCUCACUCUACACUUCACGCCACCUACUCCCACCCACUCACACACUCACGUACACACCCCACACUUUACGUACACACUCCUCACACUUCUUACACUUCAAGAGACAACAGCCCCUAUUUAUAGGAGCCAAAGUCGGCACAUCCACCGACUUCCCACACCAUCUUCUUCCUAUUAUUUUAUUGCAACUUGGGUCAACAAUUGCGGCUGAGGAAUUGUCUGGAGAGAGGGAGAGAGAUCCGGACGAGUAGAGAGAGAGAUCUGGAGAGUUCUAGGAGAGAGAGGCGGUGAUCUUCAACAUACCCCUCCGUAGUCAUAAUGGCUGGCUCCAUCUAGAAUGCAGGCAGUAAUUUUGUCAUAUCAGCUGCUGACGUAAUACUUCGAACGUAUGUCAAUUUGUAAGUGAAUCUAAAUGAUCGAAUAUCUUUUAUAAUCAUCUCAUUUAGAUGAAGAUGCCUCGGAUGUUUCUGGACACAAACGCUUGGACAAAUGUCGCUCAUGGCUCUAUGGACGUAGUCAAACUCGGCAACCCAGAUCGGUUGCAGACAUUUCGAAUCUACUUACAACUAGUUCUUUGGAGAAUCGAGAAGGAACCCGCAAUCUCUUCUUUCAACUUUGUCCCUGUCCUUUACUUGCGAAUAUGGACAUAUAUGAACCCAUGAACUUGACCUACACAGACUAAAUGCAUACAAUCUCCCCAUCAAAUCAUCCCUAGAUGCAUCCCCCAAUUUCCUAAACACGGCAGGCCAACUUGAAAAGCUCCUUCUAUAGUCUUAUUUGAGCCUGCUCAUUCCCUUAUUCUUCAGCUAAGAUUAUUCAACUUGAUGGAUUGUGGUAGGAAAGAUGCUUGAAAUGAGCAACAGCGUCAUAAGUGCAUUUACGCUUAGUCUUUCAACCGACAUAGUUGCUAAUGAUUCCGAGCUAGCAAAUAAUUUAAGCACAAUGAGCAAGCAGCAGUCUUGCUUUACAUUCGAUUUGCCCAUUUUUGUUCCGGUGAAAUUUGUGAUCCAUUUCAUGAACCAUCCAGAUUUCUCCAGCGGCUGUCCAACUGGCAAUUUGGUAACUACGUCGAGAGCAAGUAAGUUGAGAAAUUCACAGCUGUCCAAGAUUGAAGAAGAGAAGACAAAAACUACAGCUGGACGUCUAAGGUGGCUAACAUCUGGAAGACUCUCCCUUCAGCAACGAGUGAUUUGACAAAAAAAAUCAAAAUAAAAUUGUCCCACUUGUAGUAUAAAGUCAUAGGACAGAAAAAAUCCUGUAAAACAAGUCAGCUUUUCUGUAAGACAUGAACGAAAUAAAAAAAAUAAAAAUCAAUCCAUAACGUUUACGUCAGCUUUUCUAUUUGAAUGCGUUUCGGUUUAAAAAAAGAUUGCUUUUUGGACGAUCCUCUAAAAUAGAGAGUGGGGUAUUCUAACGAUAUUUAGUGACUUCAUCCUCUAUUUCCAUUUGAGACACUCCUUAGCAAAAGUAUUUUGCUUCCACCGGGCUAAAAGAAUGCCCUAUUGAGUUUCUUCCUGGAUAGAAAGAGCAAGAAAACCAAAUCCUGUAACAAAAUUAAGCACAUUACAUACUCAGAUCACUUGCACGACUGAUGUAAAAGUUUUGUUGGCAUGUAAUCUUUUUGAUUUUGGAUGUCCAUUCCGACCACUCCCCCAUGCUUAGUUUGAUCUUUUUUUUUUUUUUGAUGACCCGGGAACCCCCGUACAGCCGGCAGCCGGCGGGGUAAACCCGGGGCGAACUGAGCCGUCACCACAAACCCAGCCGCAAGUGAGUCGCGCAAUGGACACGCGGGGUUUCGAACCCCUCCCUCCUCGGUGGGGGAGAAAGCUUUAAUCAUCGCGGCCACUAUAGGCGGUGAUCUUAGUCUAAUCUUUUACUCAUAACUAUGCAUGCAAAUUUAAUUGGAAAGGCAAAUGGGACUUAGUAAGAUUCGAACUUAGGGCCUUCAGCUUUGAUACUUGUAACAAUUUUGUGGGAUUACUGCUGACUGUUCUAAAAGUUUAAGCCGUUAAAUGAAGACGUGAUUUAAUAUUUAAUUAUUCUAACAGUAUUAGUGAUCAUUUUCUAAACCAUGCUUUUGUUGAUCAUGAUUUUAAAUUACCAAUAUGAUGGUCCUUUGUGGGACAGGUAUGAGUUAGUGACAUAAUAUUUGUAAAAAAAUGUGAAGUUGAAAGUUAACUUAAGGUUUGCUUCUUGAGUCUUAUAAAAAUCUAAGAAAAACACAAGCUCCUCUAUGUGGGGGCAAACGUAUAAUACGAGCUUCUUAGCGAAGGAAAAACGACGGUGUUUCAUCAUUAAUCACUGGUCUAGGAUCCCGUAUGAUAAAAAAAGGAGACGUCGCCGCGUGUGCAAAUCACUUGUAAUUUACUUUGAUAGGAGGCAAUAUACGCAUAAAAAAAAAUGUAAGAUAGCUUUAACAUUUACAAAUACUUACCAAUGUAAAAUAAUUUAACUGCAACGGAAUUAGUAUUACGAACACAAACACUUGACUUACGAACACCAUUUUGAAUUUAUGAUACAAUAAGGUAUAUUACUAUGAUUAGACUUUGUUAGCGAUUUACUAAGAAUGGGUAUAAUUAAGGUCGUCAAGGAUUAGCACUCACUCAAUUUACUAAUUAGAAGGAAAAUUACUAUUUAAGAGAUGCAUUACAUCUUAUGGGGUAAAUUACUACUUUGAAUUACUUUCUAUAAGACUUAUUAUUGUCUUAAGAGAUGUUACUACUUUGAAGGUAAAUCACUCAUUUUGUCUCUUGUAAUUAUCUAUUGAUAAUGAUUGGUAGUUCAUUAUGGUUAAUUUAUUUCAAUCGUUAAUGGUCCCUUUAUACUUCAUAACUUGAUGAUGAUAUUACUAAGUAUUCCUACCAUAGUGUAAUUUCCCUCAAGAGGUCAUUCCUUGUAGUUACCCGCGUUAGUAAUUACACCUCCAACAAUUGUAAUUUGCCUCAAAUCGUUGUGAUCUCAAUUGCACCUCUAGCGAGUACUUUCCUUUUUCGCAUAGUAACUUAGCUUAUAGUUCAUAACAAGAAAUUCCUAUCUCUUAGCUUGAGUGAAAAUAAUCUACCUUUGGAGACAGUAAAUUACCUCAAGUUAUCCUAAGCUCGAUAAGUUGUGAAUUGGCGGGUUUGAGAGAGUUCGGGCUAAGCCUAAUAGACUUAACAAGCCAUUACUCUCCGCAGACGCCCGUGUGAUAGGGCGCUGAAAAAGAGGUCGCGACAACGUUCAACGACACUACGGGCUGCAUCAGGUCUCACUUGAACCAAGCAUUCCAAAAUAUCCACAUGCCCUUUCAUGGCUGUGACGUGAAGAGGGUUUCUUUUGUAUUUGUCAUGGAUUAAACAUGCCUCAGGGUUGACUCUUAACAAGCUUGCCAAGGUAUCCUUUUGCUGCCGCAAGAUGAAGAGGCAUCAAACUUUGACAAUCCCGCUCUCUUGCCAGCUCGGCCUUUCAAGCUAAAACCUCUUCCACGAAAUCCAAGUGUCCGAGCAUGGCUGCGAAGUGCAGAGGAGUCUUGGUGUGAUUCCCGGUCAUGAUUCCAGCGAGAAGUAGCUUAUCUUUUCUGAGCAACUCAAGUAAUAAACGCACAUUUCCUUCCACGGCGGCUUCAUAGAGCUUGGACUCCAUGUUUGGGUCUCUAAAAUGGGAGUUUCGGAAUACUCACUCCUCCAUUUGGAGACUUGAAUAUAUAUCGUCACAACCAAGUGAAUCUUCAUAGUAGGCUUGACGAAGUCCGAAAAAUGAUUAGUAGAUUUUUCAUCUGCAAGUAUGUGGCUCAGUUCCCCCGAAUGUCCAUGGAGGGUGUGUUGGGAUAUACCUGGCGGCCAUUUUCUGGCGAGUCUCGUCUCAUUUGGUCCUAUAGUGGUCAACUGGAUGCUCCACUGAAACAAGCACUCAAUAAAACACUCUUCUCUGUUCUCUCUCUACGUCGCUUUAUUCACCACACGCUCGCACAUGGAGCACCUUCUCCAUUUAAAGGAUGCAAGUCGGUGCAUCCCAGCUUUCCACACUUUUCCAAUACAAAAUAUCUCCUAAACUAAUUCAUCACAUUGCAACUUGCUUUGGCUUAUCGGAAGAGGCGGUGAGAAAGGGAAAAAUCUGGAGAGAAGGUAAAAUAUGGAAGAAGGGAGAGAGAUAUCUGGAAAAUGGAAGAGGGAGAGGCGAUGCUUCUCAACAUGUCCCCUUGGAGACUUGACGUCCUUUGAAAUUCGCUGCUGUCACAAUGCUUCAUUGCGACAUGUUCUUCCCUCAAACAACGACCAGCCAUUUUUCACACAAUUUAAGACAUGAUUGGCUAAGACCAAAUACCAUAAUUCUCUGCGAUAAUUUCACCGAAUAAUCAGGGAUAUAUCAACACCGGUCCUUACCUUCCCUUACAAAUAUGGACAUAUAUGAACGCGUGAACUUGACUUACAUAGACCAAAUGCAGACAGUGUCACCACCAAUUGGUCCCAGGUGUCUCCCCCAAUUCCCUAAACACGACAUGUCAACUUCAAAAGCUCCUGUUUUAGUCUUAUUUGAGCCUGCACAAUAUCUUAUUCUUCGGCUCAGAUCAUUCAACUUUAUGGAUUGUAUUAGGAAGAUGCUUGAAACGAGCAAGUUUCAUAAGUGCAUUUAUGAUUAGUCUUUCCGCCAAAAUAGUCACAAAUGAUUUUUAGCUAGCAAAUAAUUUAAGCACAAUGAGCAAGCAGCAGUCUGGCUACACAUUUCAUGGCCCAUUUUUGUUCAAACACCAAUGUGCUUUUAUGCAAAGAUUAAUUUACUUUGAAGGUAUCAGCAAAAACAAAAUGAUCAUAAAUUGGAGAAGGGAAAGCCAAAAAUAGUCCGAAUCAAUAUCACCUGUUGAGUUUCUUCCCAGAAAGAAAGAACAAGAAAACCAAAUCAUGCGGCAAAAUAAAGUAUGUUACAUGCUCAGAUCACUUGCUCCACUGCAUUCAGAGAUCAUGGCAAUGAAUUCGUGAGAAAGUUUCGACUCUUCCUCGCACGACUAAUGUAGAAAAAUUGUUGGCACGUAAUCAUUUUAUCUGGACAUUCAAUCAAUAACUUAGUAUUUUGUGAAAGCGAAUCUUAAUUUGUUUGAAAGUCCUUGCCAUAAACUGCCCUCAUGAACACAAAACAUCUGCUUCGGUAAUUCUACGUUCUAGGAUUUUCUACUUUGGUCUUAAGCUUAUUGGGGGCGAUUCUAGGGUCCCAUAUGGAAGAAGGGACCUUCAUUCCGUGUGCAAAAUUGACUGGCUAUAGCCAUUUAAUUUUUAGUUUACUUUGGUUGUAGAUGAUUUUGCCAAUUCAAAAGGGAAAUUAUGAAUUAUAAGAUAAAGUUUGCAUUUGCAAAUAACUACAAACAUAGAGGUAAUUUAAUGACGUUAGAACUAAUUUUAUGAACACAACAUAUACUUACAAACAUCAUGUGGCACUUAUGAUACAAUAAGGUAUAUUAUUAUAGGCUUUGUUAAAAAUUUACUAGGAAUUGACCAAAAAAAAAAAACCAAUUUGCUAAGAAUGAGUAUAAUUGAGACCAUCAAGGAUUAGCACUCAUUCAUUUUACUAAUUAUAAGGGAAAUUAAUACUUCAAAAGGUACAUUAUUUCUUAUAGGGUAAAUUACUAUUCUGAAUUUCUUCCUAUAAAGUAGAACAUUGUCUUAAGAUAUGUUACUACUCUGAAGGUAAAUUACACGUUUUGUAACAUGAGAAUGCUUACACUUAGUAAUUUUCUUAUAACAUAGUAAAUUACUUCAAGCCAUCGCAUGUGAUAUAUUACUUGGUAGUUGACCUAAAGCCAUGGUGAAUCGGCUGAACUCCUCACAAUUCAUUCGCUUAUGGUUCGUAAAAUUUUAUAAAAAAUAGAAACAUUCCUUCACAGUUCGUAAGUUGGGGAUGUUUUCACUAGUAACUAUAUUGUAAAUUUAUUUAUACAGUCAUGGUUGGUAGUUCAUUAUUGUUAGUAUUUUUCCAGUAUUAAUCAUAUUUCAUAACUCGAUAAUGGAAUUACUAAGUAAUUGUCCCACCAUGGUCUAAUUUUCCAUGACAUGUCAUAACUUGUAGUUCCUAUCCUUAAUAAUUAUAUCUCCGACAAUUGUAAUUUGCUUGAAAUCGUCGUGAUCUCAAUUGUACCAGUAGUUUGUACGUUCCUCUUCUGCGUAAUUUAGCUAUAUAGUUCGUAACAAGAAUGCUUUGAUGGUAAAUUUCCAUCUUAAAAGAUGUUACUACUUUGAUGGUAAGUUAUUUAUUUUGUAACAUGGAAAUGCUUACGCCUAAUAAUUUCCUUAUAACAUUCCCUCAAACCAUGGGGUGUGACAUAUUACUUGGUAAAUGAUCUAAAGCUAUGGUAAAUUGUUUAUACUCCUCAUACUCUUGUUGCACUUGUUCAUAAAAUUGUAUUCAAAUAGUGACAUUCAUAUACACCACUUAAAUUAGGGAUGUUGUACUAGUUAUUCGGUAAUUUCAUAAUUUUCUUCAAUUAGUCAAAAUUGGUAGUUCAUUGUUUUCUUUUGUUUUAGUAUUUUUCAAUUAUUAACAAUAACUUCCUUUUUUUUUUACCAAAAAAAACAAUAACUUCCUUUUAUACUUCAUAACUCGACCGGUCAUAAUCCGUAGUUCCUGUUCCGUAUUAUUAUACCUCUAAUAAUUAUAAUUUACCUAAAAUUGCCACGAUCUUAGUUGCACGUCUAGUUUGCUCUUUCCUCUUUUUGUGUGGCAAUUGAGCUAUAUAGUUCAAAACAAGAAUUCCUAUCACUUACCAGUUAACUAAUGGGAUGGUAAGGUACUUGAAAUUGUCAUAAGAGACACAUCUUAAAAUUAAUAAUUGACCACGAUAAUCGUAAGUCUUUCACAAGUCCAUGCAAAUGGUAGUUAGUAAUCUGCGUUUCUUAAUAGUAAAUUUACUCAAGUUAUCGUAAGCUCAUAGGUCUAAAUGAUCGUAAUUUUUAUCGAUAAAUCUUAGCAACCUAAAGUUUACUUUCUAUUUCCCUUUUCUUAGUAAAUCUACUUAAAUAAUCCUUUAAAUUCAUAAUCAAUGGAUCCUAUCCAUAUAUAAUAGUCCUUUUGAUUGUCGUGAUUUUCCUCAAUUAAUCGUAAAAUUUACAAUUCCUCCUGAACAAACUUCCUUAGUUGUCUAUAAAUUACCGCUUCAACUGAUGCCACGGCUGAGAAUUUUUGGCUUCAAAUCCAAUAGGUCAUAUUCUCUUUUACUUAACCGCCACAAAUCAAAUCAAAUGAAACAGACAUCCAUUAUACAUCUAAACUCCGUCUUUCACAGGGAUUCAACACGCAUAAAACAUCCAUUGUUUCCACUAGCAGAUACACAUGCAUGCUAUCGUAGCUAAGUUGUCUAAUCACCACACUGAACAACACAUACUGCAUAGCAUCUCCUCUUGCAUGGCUUUUGGGCUCAGGGCACUUCUCCUAUAAGAUCCCUCCUGCUGCGGACGAAUUUCAGGACUUUGGGUACCAACUUCACGAUCAAGUGAACAACGUGGCACAGGCAAAUAAUAGCCAUUAAUCCAUACCAUGCCAGCGUCGAAUUUCUAUUUAUUUCAGUUGAAAUACUCAAGGAGUUAGCCGGUGUGACGACCCAUAUGGUGAUGAUAUAAGUCAACCCUGUGAAGGUUAUCGCAACCCACAUAAUCAGCAUUGCAAUCCAUGUGGUAAGCCGACGCCGCUUUAGAGGAAGACCACUUAUAAGAAGCAUAAUGGUGCUAAGCGAUGCGAUGAAACUUAUCGUGUUACAUAUUAGGAAAAAAUGGUAUAGGUCCGGGUAAUUAUCUGCGAAUAUGGACUCGCCCGCACAGUGCCUUUCACCAUUCAUAUUGCUCGGGGAAUCUGCUGGCGAAAUGCCACGAGAUGGGGUAAUACUGGCUGCACCAUAUGUUCUAUCAUUGUUCGGCAAAUCCUCUUCCCAAAGGCCACCGGGCGGGGUAAGAGUGGCUUCGUAUGACACGGUAGCUAGCAAUGUCGCUACCACCAAUAGAGUCUGAUGCAUUUUGUCUUGCCAUUCUAUCUUUCUUUUCCUUUUUUCCUCUUUCCUUUCUUCCUCUUCUCCUAUAGGUGGAUGGAAGGUCGUGACCGUGUCAUUGGUGUGGACUGUUCGUCCGGAUGAGUUUUGAUCCUCUGAAAUUUGAGGAACAUAAUCCCUAACCUCUGAGGCUCUUCCUGCGCUUUUGCCUUGUGCUAAUAGACUGACUGCUGUGAAACCUCUGGAGUUCAUAAUGUUCGGGUUCACUCCUUUAUUAAUCAAGAAGACUAUAGUCUGCAGAGAAGUAACAAUAGAAUGUAGCAGUUGGGAUCAGGUUUGAACUAAGCACGCCCAUGUUACAUCCAUUUCAGGAUCAACUUUGGCACCAGUGUUUUUUUUAGUCCCGUAGUGUUGGUGACUAUUACUUGACACCUUCACAAGGGAAACCCAUCCCUUAUUGAAUCUCUUCUGCUACCUCUAGCUUUAUGUUCCGUCUAAUCUAGAUAAAAUUAGCAUGAAAAUAGCGCAAAGUAUAAAGUCGUAGUUGAUUAUCUUGACUAGUUAAUUCUUUUCCAAAUAUCAUAACCUUCGAUGUAAAAAUUCUUAGCUACCAAAAAUUGAUAGGACACCUAGGUAUCAUAGAUGGGAAAAUAACACAAAUAGUCCAUUAAUUUUAAUUCAAUGUGCAAUGUCAUCUUUAUACUUUUCAUCAUUCAAUGCGGUCCUUGAACUAUUUUUAAAUAUUCAAUUUAGUCCCUAAACUUUCAAGUUGUUUAAUCUAGUCUCUCAUUUACCCAUAAAAAAAGUAAAAAGUUUUCAUAAUUAAGAUAUUGCUUUGAAAAUUCUCUUUCUUUUAGAAAAUUCUCUUAUUUCAAUUUUUUUCCUAAAUCAACAAAAAAAUGACUAUCUUUUAUUACUUUUUCACCUUUUUGACAUUUAUAAAUAUUACGAUAGUUCUAUUUGCUCAUAUUUUAACUUAUGAUCUCUAUAGUAACAAAAGUAAAAUCUCAUUAAAGUUGUAUUGGGCUGAUAUUUCUAUUAUUUAAUUUCCUAAUUUAUAGAUUUAACUAAAUUUAUUGAGAAAACACGAAACACAAAACCUUGAAUUUUUAAUCUAUCUAAAAAUUAGGAAUGAGUUUAGAUUAAUAUAAGUACGAGAAAGUCUAUAAAUAUACAAAUAUUGUUGUUAAAUACUCUUAUGAGAAUACUUAUUUUAAAGUUGAAAGGAUUAUGUAUCCAAUAUAACUCUAACAUUUUUCCAUUAUAGAGAUUAUAAGUUAAAUACACUUAAAUGGAACUAUAGUUAUAUUUGUAAAAAUAAAAAAGGUAAAAAGAUAAUAAAAGGAAAAUAUUUUUUUUAUUUGGGAAAUUGAUUGAAAUAAAAGAUAUUCUAAAAUUUGGGCAAUGGUGCAAUUGUGAAAACUUAUAAUAGUAUCAAAUGGCUUAUUUGACUUUGGUGUGGAAAGCUAAGAGACUAGAUCAAACAAAUUAAAAAUUUAGAAACUAGAUCAAGUGUUUAUGAAUUGUUUAAGGACCACACGGAUAAACUAAAAAUCCAAAAAUGACAUUGCAUAUUGAACCAAAGUUUAAGGGCUAUUUGAAUUAUUUUCUCAUCCUAGAACCACCUCUUUUGUUGAUAAGCUCACUAAAUUUGACUAGUGCAUAGAGUUGAUUGUAUGAACAUACCUCAGCUUGUCUAUCUGCAAUAGCCAAAUGCAAAAUUGUGUUGCCAUCUUCAUCCCUCGAAUUGAUGAACUGUUCAUUGCCCAAGAUAUCUAUCAAAAGCUUCAAAGCUUCUAGUCUGUUAUGCUUCACACAUAAAUGUAGGAUCGUCUGGCCAUGUUCAAUGACACUAUGGGCGGCAUCAGGUCUUGCUCCAACCAAGUUUUCCAACACAUUCACAUGCCCUUUCAUGGCUGCAACAUGAAGAGGAUUUCUUUUGUAUUUGUCACAGUAGGAACAUGUAUCAGGGUAGGCUCUUACCAAGCUUUCCACUAUGUUAAGGUACCCUUUUGCUGCGGCAAGAUGAAGAGGCGUCGAACCCUGAGAAUCUUGCACACUUGCCAUCUCGGCCUUCUGAGCUAGGAUCUCUUUCACGAAAUCCAAGUGUCCAAGCAUGGCUGCGAUGUGCAGAGGAGUCUCGGUGUGAUUCCCAGUCAUGACUCUGUCAAGAAGUAGUUUAUCCGUUUUUAGCAACUCAAGCAAAGAAGGCACAUUUCCUUUGACAGCGGCUUCAUAGAGCUCAGACUCCAUGUUUGGAUCUUCAAAAAGAGGAUUUCAAAAUACUACCUCCUCCAUUGGGAGACUUAAAUAAUAUUGUCACAACCAAGUAAACCAUCUCAAUAGUCUUUGACGAAAAACGAACGGUAGAUAUGUCUUGACUGCAAGUAUGUGACUCAAGUCUCGCAUAUGUCUUAGUACGUCAGAUAAAGUUUACUCUUGAAGCUUUAUUGUGGAUAAGGAUUCCUCUGUUGGUCAUUUUCUGGCGGGUCUCGUCCCCAUUUGGUCCUAUAUAGCUCAAGUUUGCACAUGUAACAUGGCCCGAUUGAGCCAUGACAUCCUUGGAUCAUGUAAAGCAGCCACGCUCUAUCCACGCAAAUUAUUGUGGAAUCACUUCAUUUGCACAAACAUGUAUAUUUUGUUAGGAUAUGAAUUUCAUCCAUAUGUGAGAAAUAAUUUUUGCACUAACGCUCACUCAAUCGGAAUGAGCUAUAACCUAUUCACUCCUAGACAAAUUAUUCUGCCAUACGGGUGUGUUGGGAUAAUAAUUACAGAUGAGCAAUAGGAUCUCAUAGGAUCAUUGUCCCAUUCAGAGAUUCGGGUACGUAUGGCUCUAUAAAAUGCCGUACGCGGGAGCACGUGGCCCCGCUGCCAAUGGACGUCCGGCCAGCUGCUCCGGUCACGUCGGCCCCCUGCCCCGGUCAUGUCACUCUGCUCUGCUCCACUGCUCCUCUGCGCUGUCUGCCAUCGAUGUGGGGAUUCGCCUGUCGGCCAUUUUUUGCCGAGGCUCAUCUAUAUUUUGUCCUAUAUAGGUAGACUUAGAUUUCCCACUGGAGCCAUGACGUGCUUUUGAUGAUGUAAAGCAGCCCAUCCUAUUCGUGCAAAUUGUCGUAAACAUGAAUUAUUUGAAAAGACAUGAAUUUCAUUGAUUUAUCAAAAAUAAUUUUUGCGCUUAUGCUCGAUCAAUUGGAAUGAAUCAUGACCUAGGAACUUUCAUAGAAAUUAUUCUACCAUAUGGGUGUGUUAGGAAAAUAGAAACAAAUGAGCAAUAAUAUCACUAGCACAUUAGAAGUUGGCUUUCUCACCAUGGUAAUCCCAAGUGAUUUCAAGCUUGCAAAUAGUUUAAGCUCAACGUGGAGGCAUCAGCCUUGCUAUACCUCCAAAAUGCCGCCAAAGGGUUACUCUCUCUUUCUUCCAUUAAAAAUUUCAAAGAUUGAAGGACCAUAAAUUCCCGAUUGAUUUGAUCAGUCACGAAAGUCCUCAAUAGUACAAGGCAGGGAAAUAAAUCACAGAGAAUAUAUACCCCUACCACCGCAGGAAUGGUUUUCUUGUUUAAAUGAAGAAGCCCAGGAUGAUUGUGUACACAAACACUUGGACAAAUGUUGCUCACGACUCUAUAUGUAACAAUUCGGUCCAAUGAGGGCGGAGAAUAGUCGCCAAGCUAGAGGUUUUGAACAAGAAGCGGCUCUUGGCAUACUUCUAAGAUGGUGAAGAGGGCAAAUAUGAGCUGAAUUGUGCAUUAAAUAGGAGCAAAGCGAUUAUGGGAUAUAUAUGUUAAAAUUGGAUGGCAAGUUUUAAUUUGGAACUCCAAAGUUAAACAUGUUCAAGUUAGAAUGUUACUAGGAUGUGUGACUUCUUGAAAAAGUAAAUGUCCGUAUGUUAAAGGACAAAUUGUAAGAUUCACUAUGGUACGGUAAAAAAAAAAGAUAAUACUUCGAGCGAGUUAAUUCAAGGAUGUUAUAAUAUGGUAUUAGGGUGGAACUCUCUCCAAUAGAUAUAUGGUUCGGGGACAAACCACACAAAAGUUGGUGGGCCCAUAAUGACUCCGUCUGAUGAGAGUGGGGAGUAGUCGCCAAAACAAAGGGCUCAGAUAAUGAGUGGCUUGUGGUAGGUUUUUAGGAUGGCAGAGGGGGCGAAAAUGAAUCGAACUAUGCAUUGAUCCAAGGAAAAGCAAUUUUGGGAAGUAUAUGCACGCAAGCGAAAUUUGGAGUGGGACAAGCAAAACAAACAAUAACUGAAGUGAUUUAAAUCAUAGAUAGGUUAUAGACACUUCAAAUCUACUUGCAACUAUUUCUUAAGGGAAUCAAGAAGAAACCUGCAAGCUCUUCUUCAAAUGUGUGUUUUGGCAAAUCGAAAUUUAAUUUGUUUGGAAGUCUCUGCCGUAGAUUGCCCUAAGGAAGCUCCCAUUCUCCUUUUGAUUGUCGCUUUUCUCUUGAUGCUUCACUGUGACGAUGUUCUUCCCUUAAACCAUGACCAGACAUUUUUCUCAACUGCUAUAAUGAAAUUAUAGCCUUCCCCAUAGAAAUCUGAGAAAUGCAACUCCCUCAUUUAAAAAAGUUUUAGACAAGAUGGAAGUCUGAGAAAAGCGACAUUCUCUUUUAGAAACGUUUUUGGCGCGAAGUGGGCAACCCUGAGUUACUCAUUACAGUUACUUGAUAUUACCGAGAAUCAAUCAUGUGCAUUCUGCAUCACCCUUGCCUGGUUCAUCCAAAGGUCCUAGGGAUGUGAGGUAAGGGAACGAUUCUUCAAGUUCGUGUGAGGAUACAAUCUAUAUAUAAACAGAGGCUAUUCCUUCAUGUGUUCGGUGGAUUAAUUCACAGAUACGGCCUUUGCCCCAUGUAUGUCUUUUUGCAUGUUUGCGCACGUGUGUUAAAACUUUAGGUUGGCCGAUUUAAGCGGCAAGAAUGUUGAGCAUAAGAAUAUCCUAUAUCAGAAUCGAAGAAUUUUGAAGAAUUAUGUGCUGAUAUUAGACUCUUAAUGGAUAAACAUAGUGUCAUAGUCCCUGAGGCCUUCUCACAGUGUUAGACAUGAUUGGCUAAGAUCGAUGAUCAUGAUUUUCUACCGUACAUUCGCCGAGCGAUCAAAGAUAUAUCAACAUCAUUCCUUUUCCGGAGAUCCCAUGUCCCCAUACCUAUUUACCUUAGUAAUGGAAGUAUUCUCCGGAGUGUUGGUAUCCCGCACGAUGAACCACGACUUCAAAUACUUCUGGAGGUGUAAACCGGUUCAAUUGUCUCAUUUGUUCUUUGCCGACGACGUCUUCCUUUUCUGCCAAGUGGACUGGUCUUCAGUGUCCAUGUUAAAGACAAGCCUUGACAUCUUCUCCUCUUGGAGUGGUCUCUUCCCAAAUAAAAGUAAGAGCGAGAUCUUUAUAUCUGGCGGUGAUCUCUCCAUUCGGAAUAGAAUCCUCUCGACAUUCGGAUUUCGAGAAGGUAAGCUCCAAGUCCGGUACUUGGGAGUCCCUAUUAUUUCCUCUAGGCUGAAUAGAAUUGACUGCAUUGUCUUGACAGAUCGUAUCACUGCUAGAAUCCAAUCUUGGGCUCAUCGAUUCUUAUCAUUUGCGGGUAGAUUACAACGUAUCCGAUCGGUGCUUCAUGCCAUCCAAUCUUUCUGGACAAGUGUAUUUACUCUUCCUUAUUCGGUGCUAGUUAAUAUUGAACGAAUCAUGAGACAAUUUCUAUGGAAAGGAACGGCCCUUGGCCGAGGUGGAGCUAAGGUUGCAUGGGAAGAUGUUUGUCUUCCAAAAACUGAAGGUGGUUUGGGUAUUCGGAACCUCAAGGAUUGCAACAAAGCUUCAAUGGUAAAAUUUAUAUGGAUCCUCUUCUCCGAUAGGGAAUCGCUAUGGUGUCGAUGGAUCCAUUCCAUCUUCUUAGCUAAGAAGAAUUUCUGGAUUGCGUCUCAACCCAGGACAUGCUCCUGGUCUUGGAAAAAAAUUCUCCAGCUUAGAAGUAAUUUCCGAUGCUCCUUUAGAUGGAAAGUUGGAAACGGUUUCUCUAUGUCCUUAUGGCAUGAUUAUUGGCUGCCGUGUGGCCCUCUUGAUGCAUUCGUGCUUCCAUCGUUCAGAAGCAGCCUCCAUAUCCCCGAUCAUGCCGUUGUUGCUGACUUAUUCACUCCGUUGGGCCUGCCCUUCAAGGAGUUCUUGCUGAGAUGGGGUAUAUCUCUUCCAGAGUUGUCUUUGAACAUUGACAGAUUUACCUGGUGCGGCCAUCCGUCAGGUUCAUUUUCGGUAUCAUCGGCAUGGAACCUUAUUAGAGCCAGGAAAACUCUAGUUAACUGGGCGCCUUUAAUAUGGGACAACGCCAUAACCCCUCGUUACCAGUUCAUUCUUUGGCUUAUUGUGAAGAAUAGGCUUCCCACACAGGUCAUACUUCUAUCCUAUGGUCGUAUUGACUUCAAUGUGUGUGCGUUUUGCAGCAAAGUCCCUGAUUCGAGAGACCAUCUUUUCUUCGGAUGUCGCAUCUCGGCUUCCUUGGCCUUCUUCUGGGCCGCCAGAUGCAACCUUCCUUGGAAAAAUCGAUGCUGGAAUGAGGUGCUCUCUUGGGCUCGGAAGUUCCUAACCGGUAAUGACUUCUAUCAUAGAAUAGUUCGGUUCUCCUUCGGAGCCCUUUGCCAUCUCAUCUGGAAGAAAAUGAAUGCAAUCAUAUUUAAAGGUGAAUCCCUUGUGGUCCCGGCGCUCGAAAAUCACCUUAUUAAGGUGGUUAGAGACAAAGCCAUCACCUUUAAGAAUGUCUCUCCUUCCCCGAGGAACAAAAGACUUCAAAGAGGAUGGGGCUUGAUCCGAUGGUGUUUCUUAGUGGAUUUGAUCCUUAGACACUACUUGCUGUCUCUCAUUUCCGUUCCGCAUUCUGAGGUUGACGACUGGAGGUUCGGUGGUUCCAUCCUUCGCCGGUGUUCCUAGUUGUUCUUCGUGUUUUCCUAGCGGGUUAAUGCCCUUGUCCUUUUUUCAUCGGUUCCCCUUCACUUUUGCCAAUCGGCUAAGAGUGUAGGUUUUGGAUCCGAUCUUUUGUAAUUUUGUCCAUGCUCUAUAAAAUUAUUACCUUUACCAAAAAAAAAAAAAAAAACAUCAUUCCUUUUCCUUUUCUUUCGCAUAUGGACAUUUAUGAACGCGUGACGUUAACCUACAUAGACCAAAUGCAAGUAGCGUCACCACCGAAUGGUCCAUGGAUGUAUCAACAUCAUGCUUUUCUAACGUACUUUCGCUGAGCAAUCAGAGAUAUAUCAACAUCAUGCUUUUCCUUCUUUUUUUUCGAAUCUAGACAGUGUGAACCCGUGACCUUGACCAGAAUAGACUAAAUGCAUGCUUUUCCUUUCUUUUCGAAUAUGGACAGUGUGAACCCGUGACCUUGACCAAAUUAGACUAAACGCAAACAGGGUCACCACAAAAUGGUUCCCAGCUGUAUCCCCAAUUCCCUAAAAGCAGCAUGUCAACUUCAAAGACUUCAAUUAUAGUCAUAUUUGAGCCUCUACCUGACUCUUCUGAAGAAAUUAUUCAACCUCAUGAAUUGUGUCAGGAAGAUGCUUGAAAUGGGCGAAUGGUGUCAGGAAGAUGCUUGAAAUGAGCGAUAGUGUCAUAAGUGCAUUCGCAAUUAGUCUUCCUACCAAAAUAGUCGGAAAUGAUUUAGACCCAGCAAAAAAAUAAAGUGUAAUGAGCAAUCAGCAGUCUUGGUAUAAAUUUGAUUGUCCAUUUCUGUUCAAAAACCAAUUAACAUUUGAAGGUAUGGUCAGCAAAAAGAAAUGAUCAUAAAUUGGAGAAGGGGAAGAUAAUCUACGAACAGCAAGAUGACAUCGGGAUGUAGUAAUUAUCCAGUUUUAUCAUAAUUUUCUUCAAUUAGUCAAAAUUGUUAGUUGAUUACUUUGUAUUAUUCCAGUAUUAGUAAUAACUUCCUUUCAUAUUUUAUAACUCGACAUGGAAUUACUAAAUAAUCAUUCCAAGGGUAAUUUUCCUCAACUAGUCAUAACUUGUCAUUCCUAUCCUUAAUAAUUACACCUCUGGCAAUUGUAAUUUGCCUAAAAUCAUCACGAUCUCAAUCCCAUGUCCAAUUAGUACUCUCCCUUUUGUGUAGUAAUUGAGCUAAUACAGUUUGAAACAAAAAUUUCCUAUCACAUAGCAAUAAACCAUUGGGAUAAUAAGAUACUUGAAAUUGUCAUAGGAGGCACAACUUAUAAUCAAUUAUUGACAUUUAUAAUCGUAAAUCAGUCGCAAGUUCGUGUAGAUGGCAAUGAGUUCUCUACUUUUAUAGAUAGUAAAUUACCUCAAGUCAUCGUAAGCUCAAAAGAUCAUAAGGAUCAUAAUUUUUAUUGAGAAAUCUAAGCAACCUAAAGUUUACUUUCUAUUUCCCUAUUCUUAGUAAAUCUACAUAGAUAAUCCUUCAAAUUUGUAAUCAAUGGAUCUUGUCCAUAAGUAAUAAUCCUUUCGACUAUCGUGAUUUUCCGUAAUUAAUCGUAGAAUUUGCACAAGAACAAACUUCCUUAAUUAUCAAUAAGUUACCACUUGAAUAUGUUUUGGUUACACUAAAUAAAAUUGAUCCCAUGGCUGAAAUUUUUGGACUUUAAAUCCUAUAAGUCAUUCUUUUUUUAAACUGCCACAAAUCAAAUCAAAUAAGACAGCCAUCCAUUAUACAUCUAAACUCCAUCUUUUCCAUAAAUUCAACAGGAUUAAGACAUUUAUUGUUUUCACAAGCACAUACCAUACUCUAAUGCAUCGGAGCUAAGUUGUCUAAUCGGCACACUGAACGACGCAUGCACUGUAUAGCAUCUCCUCUUUUAUGGCCUUAGGUCUCAGGGCGCUUCUUCGUAACAAAACACAUUUGCAGCUAUAUACAGCCACUAAACCGUAUGAUCCUCUGGCCUGCGUUCUGUCGAGGCUUUGCGGACGAAUUCCAGAACCUUGCAUACCAAUUUCAGGAUUAAACGAAGCGACACAGGAAAAGAAGAGCUAUCAAUCCAACCCAUGCUAGCACCACAAGUCCAAUUGAACCAAUGAACGUUUUCAGUUCGCUCGCUAGUGUGAAGACAAAUACGGAGAUGGCAUAAGUUGCCGCUGCAAAGCUUAUUGCAACCCACAUAAUCAGCAUUGCAAUCCUCGUGGUGAUCCAAUGCCACUUUAGAGGAAGACUACUCAUCAAAAGCAUAAUGAUAUUAAGCGACGCAAUGAAGCAAUGAAGCUUAUCAUGUUAUAUGUUAAGAAAUUCUUACACGCGUUCAGGAACUUAUCUGUCAUUACAGAUUCACUCGCAGUAUAUGCUGCAGCCUUUUCAUCACCCAUGAAAUCUUCUUCCCAAAGGCCGUGAGGUGGGGUAAUGCUGGCUUGGAAUGUCAUGGUAGCUAGCAAUGUCACUAUCACCAUUAGCAUCUUAUGCAUUUUACCUUGCCACUUUCUCUUUCUUUCCUCACUUUCACCUUAUGCUAGUAGGGCGAAUGCCGUGAAACCUCCGGUGUUCUUAAUGUCUGGUUUAACUCCUUUAUUAGUCAAGAAGAGCAUCGUCUGCAGAGGAGUAACAUCAAAAUGAAUCGAUUGGGGUCAAAUUUCAACUAGACAACCCGAUGUUACGUACUGAUUAACUUUGCUAGUAGCGUUUUUCAGUUCGCUAGUCUUUCUGACUAUUAUUUGAUGCCUUACUCAUCCCUUGAUGAAACUCUUUUGCUAUCUCCAAUUCUAUGUUCCUUCCGAUCUAGAUAAAAUAAGUAUCAAAAUUGUGUGAAGUGUAAAGUUGUAGUUUAGUAUAUGGACCAACGACUUCUUUCUUUUUUAAAUAUCAUGACCUACAAUGGAUAUCUUUUAGCUUCCGAAUAUUUCUAGGAUAUUAAUGUAUAUUAGAAUCACCCUUUUCUUUAUUAAUAAGCUCACUAAAUUUGACUAGUGCAUAGGCUUGGUUGUAUAAACAUACUUAGCUUCUCUAUCUGUAGUAGCCAAAUGCAAAAUCGUGUUGCCAUAUUUGUCCCUCGAGUUGAUGAACUAAUUGUUACUGAGGAUAUCUAUCAAAAGUUUCAAAGCUUCUAGUAUAUUAUGCGUCAUGCAUAAAUGUAAGAUCGUUUGGCCAUGUUCAACAACACUAUGGGCUGCAUCAGGUCUUGCUUGGACCAAGUAUUCCAAUAUAUCCACAUGGCCUUUCAUGGUCGCAACAUAAAGAGGGUUUCUUUCAUAUUUGUUAUGGACGAUACAUAUAUCAAGGUUGACUCUUAACAAACUUGCUACGAUGUUAGGGUAUCUUUUUGCUGCCCGAGAUGAAGAGGGAAUCUUGCUCUCUUUCCAGCUCGGCCUUCUGAGCUAGGACCUCUUCCACAAAAUCCAAGUGUCCAAACAUGGUUGCAACGUGUAGAGGAUUCACGUUAUGUUUUUUGGUAAUGAUUCUAUCAAGAAGUAGUUUAUCUUCUGUGAGCAACUCAAGCAGAGAAUACACAUUCCCUUUCACAGCAGCUAUGUAGAGCUCGGACUCUAUGUUUGGUUCUCUAAAACGAGAGCUUUAGAGUACUCUUUCCUCCAUUUUGAAACUUGAAUAAAUACUAUCACAAGUCGAGGGUUUUCUCGAAGAGGGGUCUUCUCUUUCUCUCGUCGGAGGGCCUUCUCGGUUAAGCCGGCGAUGGCGGCGCCUGCUUCGGCGGGAUCGAAGAGGGGUUUUCUCUUUCUCUCGUCGGAGAGCCCUUCUCGGUUAAGCCGGCGACGGCGGUGCCUGCUUCGGCGGGAUCGAAGAGGGCUUUGCUUCAUCCGAACAAAGAAACUCGAAGAGGGGUUUUCUCUCUCUCUCGUCGGAGAACCCUUCUUGGUUAAGCCGGCGAUGACGGCGCCUGCUUUGGUGGGACCGAAGAGGGUGGGCGCCCGGACCAUCGUCGACGGCUCGGGGACCAGGUUGCGGACGGACGCAGAGACAAGGCUGUGUGGCGGCGCGUGGGUUCGCAUAGGAGCGUGGGUUCCUCUCUCGUAACCCUCCGUGAGUUUUCCUCUCUCUCUCGUCGGAGAUCCUGUCACGGUUUGAGCCGGCGACGAUGGCGCCUGCUUUCGGCUGGAUCGAAGAGGGUGGAGCCGCAUCCGGGUCCGCGUGUGGCCGGACCAUCGUCGGCGGCUCGGGACCAGGUUGCGGACGGACGUAGAGGCAAGGGUAAGUGGCAGCGCGUGGGUUCGCUCUGGUGAGCUGGUUUGAGCGUGAAGAGGUCUCCCUAAAGGUUAGCUUGUUUGUACCUCUCCUUCGGGCUGUUCUUGCUGCCGAUGGACUAGGGUUUUGAGAUCUGGGAAUUUAUUCUGAGAUGGAGGCCGACUCUUUUACUCGACCUCGCCUGAAUGAUGAGGGAUUGCGCUCGUCUGGCCCCUUCCCCCCUAGGAAUGAUCGUCCUUUGACGAAUGCUUCUGUGGUGAAUGCGGGUAACCGAAUGAAACCCCCUUCUGCUGGAGUCGGGACAUUGAACCCCCCAACGACAUUAAGAAGUCGUCCUGUUAAUAGAGAGCCUUCUAAAUCGAAAAGACCUCAGUCUAGGAGUCGAUCGAAGAAGCCUGAAACCUGUUCUUGGGCUGCUGUCGCAAUUGGUGCGAAUAAGGGAUAUGACCUUGAGUUUACCCCCCCGAUAAUUGUGAAUAACAAGCCAGUUAUUCAAAUGGACGACUCUGAUAUCGAUGCCGCGGACCCUAAGUUGUAUGACUGCCUUGUGGGACACUUCAUUGGGAAGAAUCUUCCGUUUAAGCUGGUUGAGGAGUCCCUGAGGAGAGCUUGGGGACCGAAUUUGGUAGAAGUAAUGUCCAAUGGGCGUGGCGUGUUUCUUCUGCGCAUUGUAGAUCGCGAAUUCAGAAGGAGUAUCCUGGAGGACAGUCCCAUUACCAUUGCAAGAAUUCCACUGAUCCUUCAACAAUGGAAACCGGGGGUCGAGCUAAACAAAGAUACUCAUAGAUCUGUUCCAGUUUGGGUAAGACUAAGGAACCUUCCGUUUGCCUUCUGGUCUGCUCAAGCUAUCGGAAAGGUGGCUAGUGCCUUGGGUAAGCCGCUUUAUGUUGAUCAGAAAACUGAGCAGGUGUCCAUGUUGACUUUUGCCCGAGUAUGUGUAGAAAUGACAACUCAGCAACCUCAGUACAAAACCCUUGAUUUAACUACUAAUGGAUCAAAGGUCGUGGUGGAAGUCGAGUAUGAAUGGAAACCGAUGAUUUGUUCCAAAUGUGAAAUGUUUGGUCACACCUGUAAAAAUGUUACUCCUGGUCCUUCUGCUGGACGAUCUGAGGGAGCUUCAGAAAGUAUCCAGAAGGCUAAUCCGGUAGUUGAGGCCCGCUCCUCUAAAGGAAAGGAGGUGGUUAUGCAGCAACCUUCUGCGGAAGAUGUAGAUAUUCAAGUCACCCAUCGUUCUAAAGUGGGUGCAGCAAAACCCGUAUCUGGUGUGGCUGGUGACAGGCCUUCCUAUGUUGGGGAAUCAAGCUUGAGAAAGGCGGCUCCUCAGGGACCGGAUGCUCUACCUGAACCGCAAUCAGUUGCUGAGGAGGAAGGAUGGAAGCAAGUUAAUCGGAAAAAUAAGAAAAAGAAGAUGAAGCAGGCAGCAAGGAAGGCGGCUGCUGCUGCUGCUGCUGCUGCUGAUGCUACUGCUGCAAAUGCUGUAGCACCUACUGAUAUUGUUCAAGCGGAGGUUGCAAAUAUGUCUAUGAUGAAACCAAACGACCCUUCAAAAUCUCUUGAUCCAGUGAUUCAUUCCCUGGCAAGAUUGUUUCCUCCUUCUGUAGCGGACCCUCCUGCUCAGGAUGAUCCCCUGGCUUUAAUCGAUACCUCCGACGAAAUUAGUAAUUCUAGUAUCCAAGAGGACCCGAUUGGAGAAGAUUCUUGGGGAUAUUCCUGAAUCUAAAAGGCUCACCUCGCCGUUAAUGGCAAACUUCCAGGAAAAGCUUCGUAUGCUCCUAUCUGAUGGUCCAGAAGAUCUGAAGAAGGAAGUUACAGCUUCGAGGACCUCUAAAAAGAGGUAAUUUUGCUCCUUGUUUUUUUGAUGAUUGUUGGUUUUUGGAAUAUUAGAGGUAUCUUAAAUCCUCUUAGGCGUGCCGAAAUUAGACGUUUUGCAGCGGUAAAUAAGCUUUGUUUUAUUGGCUUACUUGAAACUAAAGUUCCUUUAGAGCUUUUUGAUUCUAUUUCGGCCACCCUCAUUAAGGGGUGGAAUUGGUGUGCUAAUUAUGAUUAUGCUCCGCGUGGGAGGAUUUGGGUUGGAUGGAACCCGGAUCUCGUUGCCUUUUCUACUAUGUCUAUUAAUGACCAAGUGUUGCAUGGUUUUUUAAAAUGCAAUCUUUCUGGAAGGAGUUUCUGUAUAUCGGCCGUCUACGGAGAACAUACGUUUGCCCGUCGUAGAUCGUUAUGGGAAAAUCUCCAGCUCUGCAGUGAACUCUUCCUCGAUUCACCAUGGCUAGUUGCUGGUGAUUUCAAUGCUAUCAGGGAUCCUUCGGACCGUGUUGGGGGCGCCGCCAAUUGGAUUCCGUAUUUUGAUGAAUUCCACCAGUGCUUGGAGCAAAUGGAUCUUACUGACCUCAGAUUUGUCGGGCUUCGUUACACUUGGUCCACUUCAUCUAGGACCAGGAGGAAUAUGAGAAAGAUAGAUCGUGUAUUGGUUAACAGCAAGUGGAACCUUGAUUUCUCGUAUUCGGAUGCGUCUUUUUUGAACCCUGCAUAUCUGACCACACGCCGAUGGUUGUAAGAGUUGUCCAUCCGGCCCCGAGGAGGAAACCUUUCAAAUACUUUGAUUUCUGGACAGAUCAUCCAGAGUUUAAGGCGAUCGUGCAGCUUGUAUGGAAUACUCCGGUUAGAGGCAUCCCUAUGUUUAAACUGGUUUCUAGGUUGAAGAUUUUGAAAGCUCAACCCUCAACCAGGAUGCUUUCUCUAACAUUUCGGCUAGAGCUGCUGAGGCAAGAGAAGCUCUCAACGCCACUCAAGUUCAACUUCAAUCAAACCCAUCUAGCUUUGCUCUUGCUGAUCAAGAAAGGUGCCAACGUCAGGUGUUUGUUGAAUUGAGGAAUCAAGAUGAAUCUUAUUAUAUGCAAAAGUCCAGAAUUAGAUGGCUAAAGCAAGGUGACCGGAAUACGAAUUUCUUCCACCAGUCUGUCAAGAGGAGACAGCUAAUCAACAGAAUCCUUUCGGUGAAGGAUCCCACCGGUUCACUGAUUACUGACCCGGGGUUGGUUUCGCAGGUGUUCAUUAGCUACUUCUCUUCGUUGUACUCCCCCCAUGAUGCGUUAAUUAGGCCGUCCGUCCAAGAGGUGGAGCGGGUUAUUCGACAACCUCUAGCUGCUGAUCAGAUGUGCCUUCUCUCUAAUCCAGUUUCUGAUGCGGAGAUCAAGUCUACGCUGUUCUCAUUAGCCAAAGGUAAGGCCCCUGGACCUGAUGGAUUCUCGGCUGAAUUCUUCAAGUCCAACUGGGAGAUCGUUGGUCCAUUGGUUUUGGAGGCGGUUCACGACUUCUUCCACAUCGGCCGGCUGUUGAGAGAGGUAAAUGCAACCAUCCUUGCUCUCGUCCCUAAAGUUCCUAAUGCCAGUGCUGUUUCGGAUUUUAGGCCGAUUGCUUGUUGUAAUAUUAUAUAUAAGGUGAUUACCAAGAUCUUGGCCAAUCGUAUAGCGGCGGUUUUAAAUGUUUUGAUAAGUCCAUCUCAGAAUGCGUUUGUUAAAGGAAGGAGAAUUAGGGAUAACAUCCUCUUGGCUCAGGAAUUGUUUGCGGGGUUUCAUCUCCACCCAUACCUGCCUAAAUGUGCGGUUAAGGUUGAUUUCCAUAAGGCAUAUGACACGGUAGAUUGGGAGUUCCUUGAACUUGUUCUUGUAGCCUACCACUUCCCGGAGAAUUUCAUUAAGUUAGCGAUGGCUUGUGUUCGGACUCCUAAAUACUCAAUUUCUAUAAAUGGCGAUCUCCAUGGCUUUUUUUUCGGGAGGACGUGGUUUGAGAUAGGGUGACCCCAUGUCACCUUAUCUCUUCACCCUAGUUAUGGAAGUGUUUUCCGGUUUAUUGGUGUCUCAAACUUCAAAUCAUGAAUUCAGGUAUUAUUGGAGGUGUAAGCCAGUCCAACUAACGCAUCUAUUCUUUGCUGAUGAUGUUUUCCUUUUCUGUCAAGCUAACUGGCCGUCAGUAUCCAUGCUGAAAAGAGGCUUAGAUAUAUUCUCAUCCUGGAGUGGAUUGGUUCCUAACAAAAACAAGAGUGAGAUUUUUAUUGCAGGUGGUGACCCUUCUAUUCGAAACAGAAUCCGGUCGGCAUUUGGUUUUAAGGAAGGGAAACUCCCUGUUCGCUAUCUUGGGGUACCUAUCAUAUCUUCCAGAUUGAAUAAGGGGGAUUGUAUUGCAUUGACGGAGCGUAUUACGGCUAGGAUUCAAUCCUGGGCGCAUCGUUUCCUGUCCUUUGCAGGGAGACUGCAGCUGAUUCGGUCGGUUCUUUAUUCGAUUCAAUCAUUCUGGACAAGUGUCUUUAUGCUUCCCGCUUCGGUUUUGUCGGACAUCGAGAGAAUUAUGAGGCAAUUUUUAUGGAAGGGAACGGCUCUUGGCCGUGGAGGAGCAAAAGUAGCGUGGGAAGAUGUAUGUCUUUCAAAACUUGAAGGGGGUCUUGGCAUUAGGAAUAUCAGAGAUUGCAACAAAGUCUCUAUGCUCAAAUUCAUAUGGAUCCUCUUCUCGGAUAAGGAAUCGAUGUGGUGCCGGUGGAUUCAUUCCAUUCUCUUGACAAGGAAGAAUUUUUGGUUUUCAUCUCAACCUGCGACUUGCUCCUGGGCGUGGAAGAAAAUCCUCCAGCUUAGAAAGCACUUCAGAACUUUGUUUAGGUGGAAAAUUGGUAAUGGGCUAUUGGUAUCCUUAUGGCAUGAUUACUGGCUUCCAUGUGGCCCUCUUGAUGGAUUCGUUCCGCCCUCGUUUAGGGAUAAUAUGCGGCUUCCUGAUAAUGCAGUAGUUGCUGACUUAUACACCCCGUUAGGCGACUCAUUCUCUCGGAUAUUAAUCAGAUGGGGUGUAGCUUUACCAACUCUGGAGGCUUAUAAUGAUAAGUUUAUUUGGUGUGGCGAUCCAUCAGCCUCCUUCUCGGUCGCAUCCGCAUGGAUACCAUUAGAACCAAGAGAGAUCGGGUGGAUUGGGCUUCUUUGAUUUGGGAUAUCGAUAUAGUCUUGUGCCAUCAGUUUAUUCUGUGGCUUAUAUCUAGAAACCGUCUUCCCACUCAGGUGAUGUUGUUAAAUCAGGGUCGAAUUGAUUUUAAUCUAUGUGCCUUUUGUAGUGAAGUACCGUACUCAAUUGAACACCUAUUCUUCCGGUGUCGCAUCUCGGCCUCGUUGGCCUUCUUUUGGGCGGCCAGAUGUAACUUGCCAUGGAGGAAUAGAUGUUGGAGAGAGGCGCUCACUUGGGCUAGGAAAUUCCUCAUGGGGAAGGAUUUUUACCACAGGAUAGUUCGAUUCUCUUUCGGUGCUUUGUGCCAUCUCAUUUGGAAGAAGAGGAAUGCGAUUAUCUUCGGGGGUGAAUCCUUGGUGGUCCCUGCCCUUAAAAAUCACCUAAUCAAGGUGGUUAAGGACAAAGCACUCACAUUCACGGAAGUUCUUCCUUCUCCGAGGAACAGAAGACUGCAAAGGGGGUGGGGAUUCCACCCCAUGAUCUUUUCCUCUGUAGCUAUUCCUCCUUAGGUUGUUGUUGUUUCGGUCUGCUCUUGUUCUUGUAGUUGUAGGUUCCUUCCUCCUCCGUUCUCCGCUUUCAGCUUUGAGGGCUUGAGGGCUGGGGAGGCUACGGGUUCCUGUUGUUACGUCUUGUUUGUUGGCUUCAUAGCUUUUGUGUUCUUGCUGGCGCCCUCGGGCUUUUUAUCGGAUCCCCGUCACUCUUGCUCCUUUGUUAAGAGUGUUUGUUUGGAUCCGAUCUUUUGUACUUUUGUCCUUUCUCAUUAAUAUUAUUAUCUUUACCAAAAUAAAAAAAUAAAUAAAUACUAUCACAACCAAGUCACCUUACACAGGGCUUGACGAAGACCGAAAAAUGAUCAGUAGAUCUUUCUCGUCAGCGUGUAUUUGGCGCAAUUCCGGCAAAUGUCCUUGAAUGUCAGAAAGGAAAAUGAUUUAUGUGAGGAUUCGGUUGUCGGCCAUUUUCCGCCGAGUCUCGUCUCCACUGGUCCUACAUUCGCGUUGAUGCCGUGACGUCCUUUGAUGAUGUAAAGCAGCCACUCUUUUCAUGCAAAUUGUAAUGAAUUACUUUGAAAGCACAUGAAUUUCAUCGGUAUGGGAGUUAUAGUUUUUGCACUAUCGCACGCUCAAUCGUAAUGAGCCGCAACUUAGGCACUUUCAGAUAAAUUAAUCUGCCGUAUGGGUGUGUUAGGAUAGAACCAAAUGAGCAAUAGAAUCAUUAGCACAUUAGAAGUCGGUCUUCUCAACAAUGUUGAUCCCAAGUAAUUUUCAGCUUGCCAGUAGUUUAAGCUCAACAUGGAGGCAUCAGCCUUGUUAUGCCUCAAAAUUCUGCCGAAGAGAGUCGAUCUUCUCUUUCUCCCAUAAAAAAAUUUAAAGAUUGAAGGACCAUAAGUUUCUAUUGAUUUGAUCAGUCACGAAAGGCCUAAAUGGCGCUAGACAGGGGAAAUGAAUCACGUAAAAUGCACACCCCAUUCAACUAUUCGUGAAGGAUUGUGUUUACAUCAUGCUUCUCCUUAACAAUGUCACCACAAAAUGGUUUCCAACUGUAUCCCAUUCAACUAUUCGUGAAGGAUUGUGUCCACGUGAAUAUGAUGAGAUCUAUAGCCCACACUCCAUUAUUUUCCUUAAACACACUAGAAAAGACUUACACUUGUAAAGUGACCUAUCUCCUCCCAAUUUUCCUAUGUGGGACAAGAAAAAACACAUUUUUUUUCAACCAACAAUAGUGUCAUAAGUGACCACCGGCCGCGGUGGCUCCACUGGAUAAGACUCUGUUGAUUCUCAACGAAGAGGUGAAGGGUUCAAAACCCAGGGGAAGUGCUAGGUGUAUUAAGUGUGACUCAGGGGUGGUGGAUCCUCCUACUUAAGUGUCACUUGAAGAUUUACGGCGCGGCUGUCGGCUGCAAGCCGGUUCCUCUAAUACCAAAAAAAAAGAAAGAAGAGAAAGUGUCAUAAGUGCAUUUGCAAUUAGUUUUCCUACCAAAAUAGUCAGAAAUGAUUUAGAGCCAGCAAAAAAAUUAAGAACAAGGAGCAAUCCGUAGUCUUGCUGUACUUAUUGAUUGCCUAAUCUCCGUUCGAAAACCAAUUAACAUUUGAAGGUAUGAUCAGCAAAAAUAAAUGAUCAUAAAAUGGAGAAGGGAAAGCCAAAAUUGUCCGAAUCAAUUUGACCUGUUGAGUUGCUUCCCAGAAAGAAAGAGCUAGAAAACCAAGUCAUGUGACAAAAUUAAGCAGGUUACAUUCUCAGAUCACUUGCUCCACUGCAUUCAGAAAACAUGGCAAAGAAUUCUUUAAAAUGUUUUGAUUCUUCCUAGCGUGAAAUGUGUAAAAAAUUUGUCGGCACCUAAUCUUUAUAUUGACUUUCAUUUCUUUAACAGUGGAGGAGGUGAACAAUGUACAUUAGGAGGACGGAGAGCUGCCACGCCCAUCGCUGGGGAUGUAUUAGGACGAGUUUGGUUUGGCCACCUCAUGAUGUGGAUUUUGAUCCUAUCUAUCGUGUCGAUGGCUGCGGUAAGGACUUCCCUUAUGUAGUUGUGCUCAAAGCAGUGUAUUAGCCCUUCAGAGCACGCAUUUGAAGGCAUUUGGCUUUUGCCUUCUAAUCUCGAGACCACAAGCAGGUGCCCAGCCGCAUUGGCCUCCUCGUGGAUGCGUCCAAGCCCGGGGCGAUCGGCUGCCGAUCCUUUGAUCAUGGAGAAGAUGCAGAUGAAGCCCUGCGCGGGGGAGCAUGUCAGAUCAAUUUCUGCAGGAAUGUCAGCUAAUAAAAUGUUGUCCUAUGAUUGUGAUGAUUACCUCUUCGAUUCGUUUGAUGUCCAUUCCGAACUGUGUUUCUCCCGGUUCAGGGACUAGUUCUACUGAAACCUCCGCAAUUCCCGGUAAAAACCAUAACCUUAUCCCAUGAACCAUUUGGACGGUCAUUGUCUGGCUAUGUUGCUUCCCCAAACUAAUUUCUUUUCCUGUGGGGAUGUUCUUGCCCUUAGGAAAAAAAGAAGAAAAAGACCGGAAGUAGUCACUCACCGUGCCAAGAAUUAGAAGCUAUAUUUACAUGAAGGAGCUAUAAUCAUAGACAGAUCUCAAGAGCUUGGCGAAAAAUCCCGAUGGAAGAGAGAAUUUACCGACGUCAUGAUCUGUUCAGUUUGGAUAUCGACAAAGACGAGGAAUUCCUGAGGAAACCGACGCACAGAACCAGGCCAUGGACCGGGUUGUAAUGGCCUCGACGGUGUGCUUACCUGGCAGCGGCAUAAACAGAACGGAGCUAACUACCGGAGACCGUUGAUCGGGCAAGUAGGUCCCAACUUUCGCCUUCCAGUCACAUCUCAUUCCUUUCUUCUUGAAUCCUGCUGUGUCCACGUUCACCACCCGCCUGCUCAUUUCUGCAUCGCCAGAUGGAAAGUCCUCAUCUUAUCCCUUUGCAUGAUAUGCACGCAUGCUCGUCCAAAUGAAUGUUCAAGAGGUAGCAUAUAUAUCUACCAGCCAUCAUCCUAGCAGGAUAAUUGUGGAUGAAUGUUUGCAGCACAUUGGGAUGGACUUUGAUUUUCCUGGUUUUGUCUCCAGGACCUCUUGCCCAGUGAACGCAGUCCGUGAUUUACUAUUGUGAAGUUCUAGUCUGAAGGCCUACGUUUAAUCGUCUCGAGUGAAAAUUUUGAAUAGUUAAAAUCAAUCAAGUUUAACUAGAAAUACUAAGACUUUUGUCCAAAACAUGUUCAGUUUGACCGGCCAGUGAAUGCUGAUGUGAUAAUUUUUAAAUAAUCUUUGUUUAUUUUUAUCCAAUUUUCUAUUAUUUUUUUCUUUUUCUUUUUCAUUUUUAUUUCUUUUUCCUCUCCCACCUCAUUGGGCUUCUUCUCACAAUGACCGAUGAGGCCUUAGUGAGACUAGCGGCUGCAAAGCCCUUGCGGCCACAAAGCCCUUGUCGGCCACCUGUGAGGAUCACGGCCCUUGCUCGGCCUCCCUUAGAUCUAGGCGAGGCCUAGGGGCUGCGGGUGAGGGCCACAACCCUCGUUGGUGGCUGAUGAGGGUUUCGCGGCCCUCACCUAGUGACUAGCGAGCCUCACUAGCUAUUGCAGAGAAGCCCAAAGAGGAACGAGAGGAAAAAAUAAAAUGAAAAAUGAAAAAGAAAAUAAAUUAAUUAAAAAAUUAGAAAAAUAUUAUUUUAAAAUGACCAAGUUGAUGGCAACGCCAAUCAGUCAAGAUUGAUCGGAUGGAUUAAAUUGAUAUCAAUGUAAAAAAAAGUUAAAAUUAAAUUGAUCCAGUUAAAAUUUUUUAUACUAAAUUGAUAUCAAUAUUUUAUAUUUAAGAUUUUUUUGUACUUUUCCCAUUAUUACUUUAACCUGAAAUCCAAACAUGUGGACCUAUAUUACCUUUGAUCAUUUAAUUUUCGCACGAGACUCGCGGGAAUCAGAAACUAAGAUGAUGGUGCCAUCCCAAUUGCUAUUUGAGCUGCGGGGCCUCCAUUUUGGGAGCUCUUUUGCUUUUUUCUUAAAUUGGGUAGUAAAGAUUUUUUUAUAUAUCCACCGGGCCGUUAUAUUCCAAUCUAAUUGCCGACAUACAAUGACUAGAAAUUCAAUCGAAUUGUUAGAAUUUAGUCUGUAUUAGAGAUAGUCCUACAUACUCUAUUAAUCAUUUGAUAAUUAAAAGCCCUUACUAGAUUUCAUUACACAGAGACAUGUCUCAUUACACAUAACAAAACCCCAUAAGAUAACAGAGGGAACUCCACAAGCCCCUAAAAAACUUUCAUAGACAGAACUAAAACCGGGCCAUCAUCAACCGGCCUUGACUUCGAUGGUCUUGGUCUUCGGCUCCGGCGGCCGCACCUUCUCGACGGCCACCCUGAGCACCCCGUCCUGGUACGCCGCCGUCACCGUGUCCACAUUAGCGUUCUCCGGCAGCGCGAACCUCCUCAUGAACUUCCCGGUCCUCCUCUCCAUGCUCAGGUACUUGGCCCCUUCCUCUUUCUCCCUCUUCCUCUCCCCGCUCACGACGAGCACGUUGUCGUUCUCUACCUGGACCUUGAUCUCGUUGGCCCUUACCCCGGGCAUGUCCACGACGAACACGUAGGAGCCCGGGUACUCCACGAC
rnacentral:lncRNA from 1 species